CGCGUGUUGCCUGUGGCUGACGCUGGUGUUGGUGGGGCUGGUGUUCCUUGGAGCAAUCGCGUUGGGGGUGUUCUACGUGAUUUACCACCCGGAGCUUCCGACCUUCGCCGUGACGUCGCUCCGUCUGGCGGCGCUGAACGUCUCGGACUCCGACUCCGUCACCUCCCGCAUCGAGUUCACGGUGACCGCGCGCAACCCCAACGAGAAGAUCGCGUUCGUGUACGGCGACAUCGGGGCUGCCUUCGCGGCCGACGGCACGGACAUCGGGGACGGCACCGUGCCGGGUUUCGUCCAUCCAAGUCGCAACACGACGGUCAUCAAGGGGGCGGCUUCGGCGGCCGCCGCGACGGUGGACCCUGUGCAGGCGGCCAGUCUCAGAUCCAAGAAGUCUCACGCGAUGUCAGUGGAGAUGGACUCCAAGGUGGGGUUCCAGAUCGGGAAGUUCAAGUCGAAGCGCAUCAACGUCCGUGUGCUGUGCAGCGGCUUCAGCGCGGGGCUGGCCAAGCCGGCGCCCUCCCCGGCGCCGAUCAUCGUGGCCGCGGCGCCUGCACCCACCCGGUCUAAGAUCAGGCUGUCGUCGUCUUCCUCCGGAGGCGGCGGGGCGGCGACGACGGACGCAAAGUGUAAGCUGCGCGUCAAGAUCUGGAUUUGGACGUUUUGAUGCAUUUGUGGGUAGGGAGAGGAGGGAUUUUUCUUGGUUUGGUUUAACCUUUUUCACACUGUAUGUGGAUUUAUUGGAGUAUAGUUUAUAUGAUUCUAUCUUCCUCCUGGUUGCUGCUUGCUACUCUCAUCCAUCCAUCCUUUUGUCACAAGCUAAGUAGGCCGCAUAGAUCUAUGCUAUGCUACAGAUGGGCAUAAUUCUGCAAGAACGGUACGUACUAGUGACCACACCACACCACACCACAGUGAAACCGGCAGCUGAGAAGAAAUGGAAGGAGGCGAACUGCAGUAGGCGAGCGAUUCGGCGCACGCGCGUCGGUGGCGUCAACACAAGCUAUCUCCAGCUCGAUUUCCUUUUCGGUUUCUCUCCCUCCCGUUUCCUCAAUCUAUCUUCUCCUCUCAUCCGGGGCACAGCUGUACCAUGGCUGGCAGCCGACGCCGACGCCGACGUGCGGGCCCAUCGGUUUCCGGGACAGCAUGUAAGUGAACUGUGGAUAGGCGGCUGGGCCUGGAAAGAAAAGAAAAGAAAAUGCCGUUGAGUUGUGCGUGGCGAGGCGGUAUGACGUGUGUCGGGGAAAGGAUGAGGGAGAGAGAAAGGGUGGACGUCACUCUCGCUCCAGUCCAGUGGCUCGGCUCGGCUCUCCGAGUCCUAGGUGAACAGUGACCGCCGCUGAGUGCUCGUAGUGGCGGUACAAUCUUCUUUUUUAGUGGACGUGGCGGUACAAUCCGAGAGUGAAGAGAUCAUUUUUUUGUUUCGAGAAUGGAGAGAAGGGACGGAUGAUUAGUCAGUGAGAAUUGCUAAGCGCAGUGGAGCACGUGAGGUGUCAAGGUUGGGUACGCGACCACACACAGAUUUGCUAAGCCACAUGACUCGCAUACGCCAUACAUAACGGUCACAUAAUCAUCUCUCUAGUUUCCUAAACUUGGAACGCGUCAUUCCCACGAGGUGACUGCUUAAAAUCAGCACGGUUUUAUGCAACGGAACAAGCGGGAAGAUUGUAUGGCAUGUGCAGUACUCCCUCCUUUCAUUACUACCAAUAUAAGAUGUUCUGUUUUUUCUUCUUUUAAUCAGAUGUUUAUAGUUUGUUUGCUCAUUCAUUUUAAUUUCUAUGUAGUUCAUAUUGAAAUAUUCUAAACAUCUUAUCUACAUCUAAACCUACUAAUAAAAGAAAUUGGUUUUUUAGUCUGUCCUAUUAUUUUAUAGGAAACCUUCGAUGUUUUUAACAUUUAAUCCGUAAUACAUAUCAAUUGUUUUUACAAUACUCAUAUCUUUUAAACUGUAACUUCAAAUUUAACAUGUUAUAUAUGAAAUUUUCAUAGAAAAACAUGUAGAAUAUAAAAAUAAUGUUAUUUUACCUAUUAACCAUUUAAAAUACUAUCUAGGGUGCAAUAUUAAUUAAUAAUGCAUUAUUCGUCUUUCUUUUAUAUGGAUACUUAUUCGGAUUGGGGAUAAACAUCUCAGCAACAUCAAGAUUGAAGACGAAAUUAAAGAUCACUUGCUCGUUCUUUUUACGUAUUAAAUCUACAUGCAAGCCGUGUUGAACUAGAAAACCUGUGGAAUUUUGAACUGUCCUUUUUCUAGGUUAAGACCAUCUUUGUUUGAACCGUAGCUACAAAUUCUCAGAUUAUAGAUACUUUUUCUAAAUAAAGAGCAUGAGAUGAUUUUUUUCCUAUUGCAACGCACGAGCCCUUUUAUUAGUUAUUUGUAAUGGAGGUAGGAUUUGUUUGGGCUCUCCUAUCUUGAAUAUGCCAUGUAAUCUAGAGAAAAUAGCGAAAAGUCAUAUCGAGUGAGUUUCUUUUUCUGAGGGGAAAAAACCGCAUAUAUUAGACCAGAUACAAUCACUAUUAAAUAAAGGAACAAUAAGUGGAGGCACACUCGCCGACAAGACGAAAUCACCCUGCAAUCUGGCCAUCGAAGUUCUGGGGUAGAGAGAUUGUUCCUACGUCCGACUUUACAUGGGAAUCUCGUCACCGCUUGGUGCCGUUUUUUCGCGUUGCUUGCCCUCAUGGGGGUUGUCCAUUAGGGGUAGGGCCAUGGAUCUUCUAUCUAGGGUCCAUCUAGGGCUCCACACGGUCACUAAAGUCCCAGAGCUACUGAUGCAGUCUAAGUCUCACUCGGACACACAGAGUCAUUCGGACCAUCUUCGAUCAGUCGGACAUUCAUCAAAACUCGGACUAAGAUGAAGCGCAGACGUUGAAAGGACCGCAAUGACCAGAGACUUAAUCUCGCACAUAAAGCUGAGAGCACAAUUGCUCCCUAAGGUGGUUUUGAUAAUUGAUCACAACAUAUGCAUCAUUGGACUAAUGAGCUUACCCAAGUAUAUUUUUAGAAAAUUUCGAAGAUGCCUUGGCUAAAGGAUUAUGAGGAGAAACCCUUUGAGGAAGGAAGGAAUAGGAUUGGCUCAAGCUUCAAGCAAGAGGACUCUAUAUUUUAACACUUUGAGUCAAUAGGAAUGCUAAUACUAUUAAAAGGGGGUGAAGUAUUAUGAUGAAUUGGUUGCUCAAGUGCUUAGGGGUAGCCACCAAAAAUAUUAACUCAUUCUCCCACAAAAUCUCUCUCUCCAAAGCUAAACUAGCAAAAUCAGUGCCACCAAUAUUUUCCACUUGGCCCUACCGAUUUUCCACCACACAAAUCCUUUGCCAAACCCUAAUCUCUCGGUACCAGCAACUUUCAUAUCGGUGCCACCGAGAUUCAGUGAUCAACUUUCUGUUCAGAAAAUUCCAAGAAUCUGAAUUUCUGAGAUUGGAAUCUGUCUCACCGAGAUUUGGAAACUGGUCUAGGUCAUCGUAUCGGUACCACCGAGAUUUAUAUAUCAGUCUCAUCGAAAAUUCAAAUUUGCCACAUUUAGUGCAACUCGGUACCACCAAGAUUAUUUUCGGUGUCACCGAGUUGGGCAAUAAUGUUGUAACGGUUGGAUUUUGGGAGAUAACUAUAUAUACCCCAUCCACCUCCUCUCAUUCGCAGAGGAAGCACUCAGAACACCCACCCACUUGCGAGAUCCAUAUUUCUGAGAGAGAGCCACCUACUCAUGUGUUGAGAUUAACAGAUUCCAAUCCAACCAUUUGAAACUUGAUCUCUAGCUUCCCCAAGUUGCUUUCACAAGAUCAAUCUCUCCUACCCCUGCCAAAUCUGUGAGAGAGUGAUUGAGUGUUGAGGAGACCAUCUUUUGAAGCACAAGAGCUAGGAGUUCAUCGUUAUCCCACAUCUAUUACAUUUUGGGGGGGUGGUGGCUCCUAGAUUGGUUAGGUGUUGCUUGGGAGCCUCCUACUUCGUGUUGUGAAGUUGAACCAAGAAGUUUGUAAGGGCAAGGAGAUCGCCUACUUCGUGAAGAUCUAUCGUGAGUGAGACUAGUCCUGUGUGGACGGAAGGCAUGGUGGAAUAGACAAGGUCGCUUCUUCGUGGACCCCUUGUGGGUGGACCCCUCGGUGCACUCUCGCUGCCGUUACCCUCCGUGGGUUGAAGUCUCCACUAACGUGGACGUACGAUAGCACCACCUAUCGGAACCAUGCCAAAAAUCACCAUGUCAACCUUUGCGUUUGAUCUCCCUACCUUACCCUCUACAUUACAUUUGCAUAUCUUUACUUUCCGCUGCUAUACUCUUAGAUAUGCAUGUGUAGGGUGAACUUGACUAGUCAUAAUUGCUAAAACUGGCCCACAACUAAAUUGGGAAGGCUAAGUUUUUAUCUUGUCAAGUGGUCUAAUCACCCCCCUUCUAGACAUACUUUCGAUUCUACAAGUGGUAUCAAAGCUUUUGUCUCCAUUGCAUUGGUUUCACAAUCUAGGAGAGUGGCGUAUAGUGAGGGAAUUAUCACCGUAGAGGUCCAUAUUUCAAUGGUACAAACUUCGCUAGUUGGAAGCAUACGAUGAAAAUGCAUAUUCUUGGUCAUAAUCCUGCCGUUUGGGAUGUUGUUCAUGUUGGUGUGCAAGGUGAUUUCUUCAGAGAAGGAAGAGAAAUGGACCAUGAUGCGACAACGGAUGAGUUGAAGAUGUUGCAAUACAAUGCUCAAGCCCGUGACAUCCUGUUCGACUGUUUGUGCCCCGAAUAAUUCACCAAAAUCAGCCGCCUUGAGAAUGCAAAGGAAAUUUGGGAUAUCUUGAUUGAUGGGGGAAAAAACUUUUUCUUGAUUGAUAUGCUCAAACAUCCAAGAGUAACAAGAAGGCCCUCCCCACACUUCCACCAAGAAAAAGUUGUUCCGCCCAUGAAUCCCCCGCGGAUCUUGUUACUCUUGGGUGUUUGAGCACCCUAGAUGGAAGACGUCACCUCGAAGCCACAUUCCAUUGUGGUGAAGCUUUGUGGUCUUGUUGGGAGCCUCCAGUUAAGUUAUGCAGAUUGCCCCAUCCUUGUUUGUAAAGGUUCGGUCGUCGCCUUCAAGGGCAGCACUUAGUGGAAUCAUGGCACCUCGCAUUGUGUGAGGGGGUGAGGAGAACACGGUGGCCUUAGUGGCAUCUUGGGGAGUAUUGUGCCUCCACACCGCUCUAACGGAGACGUACUUCCCCUCAAAGGGAAGGAACUUCAGAAACACAUCCUCGUCUUCAUCGGUUCCACUUGUGGUUAUUUCUUACCUUUACUUGGAUUUACUUCUUGCUUAUUAUAGUUGUUGUUAGCAUCAUAUAUGUUGCUCACUUAGUUGCAUAUCUAGACAACCUAUUUGUUGCUAAAUCUAAUUUGUUUAAAGAAAAGCUUAAAAUUUCUUAGUUGCCUAUUCACCCCCUCUUGUCAACCAUACAGGUCCUUUCAAUUGGUAUCAGAGCCUCGUCUCUUUAUUAAGGGUUUCACCACCCAAAGAGUAUGGUUGACGAUGGGGACCAGGCUGGGGAGGUGCCAGAGGGAGCUGCUGCAAACUCAGUCACCAGAGAGGAAUUAAAUCAUGUCAUGUCCACAUUUAAAUCCUUAGUGGCUAUUGAAGUCAAGAACAUGCUUAAGGAUUUCCUUGAUAUUUACAAACCGCCUACCGAACUGUUGUUGGUGGCUAAUCCCACAAUUUCGGAUACGAGGGGCAAUGAAGAAAAGGAAAAUGCUGGUAGUGAAAAGGAUAAAAUGCCUCAAGGAACGAGUGCGACAAAUGCCUUUGCCUCAGUUCCUCCUCCCAUGGUCUAUGGAGGACCGGUCCACCCACCGCAUAUUAUUAAUCUAGGUCCUCCACCAAAGCUUGUUAAGAAUGAUUUUGCUAACUGGGUUUUUUGUAUCAAGUCUCAUUUUAAACACAACUCAACACAACUUUGGAGAAUCAUUGAGUAGGGGUACUACCCGCAUGAUACAAGAAAUCUCAUGUCAAGAGAAGAGGCCGACAAUCAGCUCAAUCACUCCGCCUUGUUCAUUCUUCAAGCGGUCGUACCUGUUGAAUACCUUCCUCACUUGCGUCCCUUCACUCGUGCCAAAGAUUGUUGGGAGCACAUCAUCUCCAUGUAUAAGGGAAGCUCUAGCAUUUAACGGUCCAACUAUGAAGUGGUUCUUGAUUAGGCCGAUGAAUUUGCUAUGAUCGAGGAUGAGGACCCUCGUGAGCUAUAUCGAAGAGUUACAACUCUUGCUGUUGCUCUUCAGGAUCAUGGAAGUAAAGAUGUGGAUGCCACUUGGAUGAAUCGUAACUUUCUCAAGGCCAUCAUGCCUUUCAACAAGUCCAUGUUCUCCGUCAUCUGUCAAAGUUCGGACUUUCAUUCCUUGUCCUCAAGCGAUGUGUUGGAUGAGUUUAUUGCCAUGAACAUUUUGAACAAGACCGUUGAAAAUGCUCUAAUCCGAGUUCAACGGUCAAGGAAAGACUCCCCCAACCUUGCUUUGAAGGCCAAGGUUGCUUUGGAGGAAGAUGAGGAAGACAAAGAAGAAACUUGUCCUGAAGACACCAAGUAUUCUUACCAGGAGCACAUGGCUCUUGCAUCAAGGUAGUUUUGGGGCGACAAGAAAAACUCAAGGCCCAACUUCUCUAAGAACAACUCAAAUGGGUCCAAGGUAAAGCAACGCGUGAGAACUUGUUACAAUUAUGGCCAUGUGAGUCAUUUUUUGGCGGAUUGUCCCUAUGAGCAGAGGGAAGACAAUGGUGGCAACCUCAUUCGUAAAGACAAGACCAAGUCCUUCCCAAACAAGAAGAACUUCCCCAAAAAGAUGCCCCAAAAGGUGUUGGUGGCUCAAGAAGAGUACCUCUCCGACGAGGAUGAUGACGACGAGCAAGUGGUGAAGCAAUGGGAAUGGCCACUAUGGCCAUUGCAUCCUCUUCUCCAAGCAAGGCGUUUCUCUUCAAGGCCCCCAACGAGAACCGCAUUGCCAUGUGCCUGAUGGCCAAGCCAUCCAACAAGGUAACCUCUAACACUCAAACUACCAACAUCAAAGCUACCAUUUCCACUACCAUGGAUAGCGGAGAUGAAAAGGAAGAGCUAGAGGAGGAGGAAAACUCCUUUCGUAAAUUCAUGAGAAAACUCAAGGGUAAAUCCAAGAAGCAUUUUGUUGCUCUCUUGGAACAACUCAGAGAGGCUAAUGACCUCACUGAAUCUCAUGAAGAUACUAUCUCUACAUUACAAGCUCAUAGUCGUGACUAUGCCAAUGAGAUUGCGGAUUUUUCCAUUGCUCUUGAAAAAGAGCAAGGACUUCGUUUGACUCUUGAGGAGUCACAUAAUGAUGACCUUGCUAAGUUAAAGAAAGAUCUUGAUCAUGCUCUUGCUCUUACCCGCGUGCUUCAAUCCGAAAAGAGUGCACUUGGGCUUGAUCAUGUUAGACUCAAGAAAGAGCUUGCAAAACUUGACAAGGCUCACAAGGCCUUGAAGAGUGCUCAUGUCUCUUUAAAAGAGUCUCAUGCUCAAUUCCAAGUAAAACUCACUAAGGAAAUAGCCGCUUGCUCUCCGUUUGUUUUAAUUGAUAAUGUCCAUGCUACUAACCCCUGUUAUGAGCAUGCUCAUCUUGUGGAGAAGAAUUUCAAAUUAAAAGAGCACCUUGAGAAAGUCCUUGUGACAUGCAUCCAAGGUGAAAAGACUCAUAAUGACCUUUUGAGCAUUCAAAAGUAGUGGUUGCAAUGGAAGGAGAUGGGUUUGCACCCAAGUCCAAGAAGAACAACAUGAUGAAGAAGAUCAGGCAACCCUCCCAGCUUAUGGAAACCUUUGUUAAAUCUGGGGAGGGUACUCAUGAGAAGGACAAGGACCAAAAUAAGCGUGCUAAUGCCAUGAAGGGCAAUACCCCUCUGCCCAACACACCUCGUGAUGUUAACCCCUCUUAUGUUUUGUGUCAUGCGAGUGAUAGGAAUGUUUUUGCUAAGUUUGUUGGUUCCUAUGAUGAGUACAUUGAAUGGUCUAUUUGGGUUUCUAAGACCCUUGUUACUAACCUCAAAGGACCCAUUAAAAAAAUGGGUACCUAAAUCCAAGCAUUGAUCUUAUGUAGGAGUUUCCUUCUGGUGGGGUGUCCUGGUUGCUUGAUAGUGGAGCAACAAAUCAUAUGACCGGUAGCAAGGACUUUGUGGUGGACGUUCAUACCGAAACAUCUAUUCCCACCAAGUCUCCUUUGGUGAUGAUGUGAUUUCAAAGGUAUUGGGUCUCGGCAAGGUGGUAAUUUCUACGGAACUUACCAUUGAAAAGGUUAUGCUUGUUGAGACCCUCGCAUACAAUUUACUUUCCAUUCAUCGACUUGCACUUAUGGGCUUUAGUACUUUCUUUGGCAUUGACUAUGUGGCCCUUUUGUGGCGCAAGACUCUUGAAGUAGCCUUUGUUGGACAUAUCGAGAACAGUCUCUAUGUGGUUAACUUUUCGGAGCGACCCACUAAGACCGCGACUUGCCUAAUGGCUAAAGUUGAUGUGGGGUUGCUUUGGCAUCGCUGGCUAGCCCAUGUCAAUAUGAGAUCUUUGCAAAGUCUCCUCAAAGAGGAUCACGUUCUCGGACUAACAAAUGUGAGUUUCGCGGGAGAUCGUGCUUGCAGUGUGUGUAUUAUUGGAAAGAUUCAUGAGAUAGCUCACCGCCCCACGACUAUCAUCUACACAAAAGGACCUUGGAGCUCCUCCACAUUGAUCUCUUUGGACGUCCAUCCUAUGAUAGUCUUGGGGGGGGGGAGAAAGUAUUGCUUCGUCAUAUUGGAUGAUUACUCAAGAUAUACGUGCGUAUACUUUUUCAAGAAAAAGAGUGAGACUCAACAAACUGUCAUCGACUUUGCUAAUGAAGCUCAACGCCAACAUAAUGCAAAGAUAUUGAUGAUUAGAAGUGACAAUGGUACCGAGUUCAAGAACUACACCCUAACUGAAUUUCUGAGUGAUGAAGGAAUCAAGCAUCAAUAUUCUACACCUUACACUCCUCAACAAAAUGGUGUGGCAGAAAGGAAGAACCGGACGUUGAUGGAUGCGGCAUGAACCAUGAUGGCGGAAUAUAAAUCUCCGUAUAACUUUUGGGCUGAAUCCAUCAACACCACAUGUCAUGCAUCCAAUCGCCCCUACGUCAUGCAUCCAAUCGCCCCUACCUUCGCAAAGGCUUGAACAAGACUCCAUAUGAAAAUUCUUAAUGGCAACAAGCCCAACCUCAAGUACUUCCGGGUGUUUGGCUGUAAGUGUUUCAUUCUUAAGAAAGGUCCUCGAUUGUCUAAAUUUGAAGCUAGAUCUCAAGAGGGCAUAUUUGUUGGUUAUGCUACAAACUCUUGCGCUUACCUUGUCCUCAAUAAGUCCUCAUGACUCAUUGAAAAGACGUGUAACAUGGAGUUUGAUGAGAAUAAUGGCUACCAAGUGGAGCAAAGUGGUCUUUGUGAUGUAGGUGACGAAAUUUCUCCCCAAGCCAUAAGAAGAAUGGGUGUGGGACACUUCCUGCCCGUGAAGGAACCCCUUGUGUCUGAAGGAGAAGGACAAUGUUCCACUCAUGUGGAACUAUCACACACGCUUUCGAAGAACGCUGUGAAGGCCCUCAUCCCCGUGAUCCCGAUGAAGGAAAAUAUCAACCUCAAGAUGGUCCUGCACCAAAUGAUGUCCUUGAUCCAGCUCACCCCUCCGAGGAUGCUCAAGAUCAAGAGGAGGCACCAAGUUCAAGAUCAAGAGCAAGUGCAAGAACAAACUCAAGCUCAAGAUCAAGGACAAACUCAAAUAGGCGGUAAAGGUCUCAAACAGGCUCCUCAGCUCACCCCUGAGGAGAUUCAAGAAAGACAUGCUGCCAAGACUGCCAAAACGCUCAAAAAUAAUUCUCAUGUGCUGCAGAAUGUCUACGGCAGCUUAUAGAGAGGGGUAACCACACGUCAUCAAUUAUCAAACUUUAGUGCCCAUCAUGCGUUUGUUUCUUGCAUUGAACCACGAAAGGUACAAGAGGCUCUUGGAGACAUGGAUUGGGUUGAAGACAUGCAUGAAGAACUCAACAACUUCGAGCACAACAAAGUGUGGCGACCGGUGCCGAGACCAAAGGAGAACCACAAUGCCAUUGGGCCAAACUGGAUCUUUAAGAACAAGCAAGAUGUGAAUGGUGCCGUCACUCGGAACAAGGCAAGAUUGGUAGCACAAGGCUACUCCCAAGUCGAGGGUAUCAACUACGGUGAAACCUUUGCUCCUGUCGCUCACCUUGAAUCUAUUCGCAUGUUGCUUGCAUUUGCUUCUCAUCAUAACUUAAAAUUAUAACAAAUGGAUGUGCAGUGUGCAUUUCUUAAUGGUCCCCUUAAGGAGUUGGUUUAUGUCAAACAAUCCCCGAGGUUUGAGGAUCCCAAGUUCCCUAAUCAUGUGUAUGUUCUUGAUAAGGCACUCUAUGGCCUUAAACAAGCCCCACGUGCGCGGUAUGAGCACCUUACGGAGAUGUUACAUGACCGUGGUUUUGAAGUUGGGAAAAUUGAUCCCACUCUUUUUACUAAGAAGGUCAAGGGGAGUUUGUUCAUAUGCCAACUAUAUGUUGAUGAUAUUAUCUUUGGUUCCCCUAACAAAGCUUUUAAUGAAGAAUUUGUUGCUCUAAUGACUAAAGAGUUUGAGAUGUCUAUGAUAGGAGAUUUGAAGUUUUUUCCUUGGGUUCGAAGUCAAGGAACCUUCAUCAAUCAAGCCAAAUACACUCAAGACAUGCUCAAAAGGUUCAAGAUGGAUGAUCUCAAACUAGCCAAGGCCAACACUCUCAUGCCUCUCAACUGCCAUCUUGACCUCGAUACGAAUGGUAAAGGUGUGGAUCAAAAGGUAUAUCGCUCUAUGAUUGGCUCUCUUCUUUACCUUUGUGAAUCUAGACCGGAUAUUAUGUUGAGUGUCGGAAUUUGUGCACAAUUUAAAUCUGCACCUAAGAAAAGUCACUAUGUGGCGGUCAAGCGAAUCUUUCGAUAUUUCGCUCAUACCCCAAACUUUGGCUUAUCGUAUCCCAAAGGGGCUUCAUUUGAUCUCAUAGGAUAUUCGGAUUCGGAUUGAACGGGACACCGUGUGGAUAGGAAGUCAACUUCCGGAGAUUGCCAAUUCCUUGGUCGCUCUCUGGUAAGUUGGUCUUCCAAGAAACAAAUUUGCAUUUCUCUCUCGUCCAUCGAGACUGAAUAUGUUGCUGCUGCAAGGUGUGCUCAGUUGCUUUGGAUGAGGAGAACUUUAAAGGAUUACGGUGUCACUUGUGACAAAAUGCCUCUUUAUUGUGAUAAUAUUAGUGCUAUCUCAAUAUCCAACAACCCGAUUCAACAUUGCAAGGCGAAGCACAUCAGUAUUCGUCACCACUUCAUUCGGGAGCAUAUCAAGCGCGGGGAGAUUGACCUCAUUUACCUCAACACUAAUGAUCAACUUGCAGAUAUCUUCAUGAAGCCUUUAAAUGAAGCAAGAUUUCGUGAGUUAAGGCAUGAGCUGAAUAUCAUUGAUUUGAGCAAUGUGGAUUGAAAUUAGGCACACCCCACCACUCUCAUCAUUUUGUUUUGUGUAGAUGUAGGCAUGAAUUUAGGGGGAGUGUUGUUCUCUUAAUGAACUCUCCCUCCCCCUAUUAUGCAUAAAUCGAUCAAUUAUUUCACAUUAGUCACUCAUGUGAUACAUGUGCUUCAAAGACGAAUUUUGGUCAUGGGUCCAAGCUUAAAAUCUUCACGGUGCCAUACCAACUGACUCAAACAUAGGUGGCCUCGGCCACCGCCCCUCUUCCACACAAGUUCUUUCCAUUAAUUGCAUGAACGGUCACUCCACAAUGGGCUCUACUUCUCAUUUUGCAUUCUUUUAAAAGUGGAGUACCUUCUUUAUUUUUGUGCCUUUAUUCUCUCCUCUGCAUGGUCAAAUAGAUCCCCAUCUUUUAAGGUGCCUGUUGCUUGGGUCAUAGGUGGUACUACCGUACUGAUCGGUGGUACUACCACUCCAGCGGUACUACCAUGCUCAUGGGCGGUACUACCGCCUCGGGGAAUUUAUGGGGUGUUAAGAUUGGGGUAGGGGGAGUUCUAACUCCCCCAUACCCAUUCCCUCCCUAUCCCCAUGCCUCUCCCUCUCUGUGGCGGCCAGGAACAUCACCAGAGGCCGGCUCCGGAUUCCUCUAUCCGUGCCGCCCUCCACUUUUUCAUCCGGAGGGAUCUCCCCCCUCAUCUCCCUCGUGCCAUGGAACCCGAUACUGCCCUGGAUCCCCAUCUCUCUCGUGGUAUUUUUGUUGGAUCUUGAUCUAGGGCAAUGCGUGUGUAUUCCUUGUUUAGUUUGUUUUUCCAUGGCCUGCGUAGGAUGUCUAGAUGAUCUUGUGUUGCAAUAAUUUUGGUACUUGCACUAGAGAUUUGUCGGAUGGAGAGAUCCGACACUGCCGCAUCCAUUGACAAUAGUUGCCCAGGACGGUACUACCGCUCAUGCAUGACCGAUACUACCGCUUCGGUGGAAGUACCGCUCUUGCACAACGGUACUACCGCUGCAGCAGAAGUACCGCUCUUGCACAUCGGUACUACCUCCCUGGCACGUGCACCCCUUUUCUUUCCUCCAUCCGCCGAUCCCUGUAUGGUUUCCUAUUUUACUUUUGGAGUCAGUUUAUACUUGUUUUCUUGUCAUUCUCCUUGUGAGUACCACGUGAUGGCUCUGGUCCUAUGACUUGUCGCAUGAACCCCAAGCAUGGCUCCAAGCACCCACGUGCAUCUGAGGAGGUAGCUGCUAAUUCGAGUGCGCAACCACAAAAGCAGCAUGUGAGGAGGACAGGUACUAAGAAGAAGGCCCCCAAAGAACCCCAAGAGUUGCCUCAAGAAGAGUUUGCUGUGUUGUGCAAGCAUAAUCCCUAUUUUCUGCCUCAGGAUGAAUCUCUUACAUGGCAUCCAUAUUGGAAGAAGGAUGUCAAGAGCAAUGAUAUGGGGCACAUGAUCUCUAAUCCCCAUACUUCUUAUUUUGCUGAAGCUUAUGCUCUCUAUGAGAAGUGGCGUCUUGGUCCUAUCAUCAAUUUCAAGAAGGACAUUGAAAGCAAGAUUGUGGCUCAAUUCUAUGCCACUAUUCCCUUCCAUGACGGUGAUGAAAGGCGCUUGACCUGGAUGACUGGUGCCCGUGUGUUACACUCUGAUUGGAAGACGUUUAUGAACUCUCUGGGCAUUGCUGACACGGGACUGGAUGAGCCCAUUGGCCCGAGGCCUCACACUGAGGGUAUUCCUACUAUUCACAAGUCCAAGCUCAUUCGUUACUCGAGGAUUGUGAAGACUGCCAAGGGUGACCGUACCGAGCUCAUGCCUUUUCUGGACAUCAUGCACAAGAUCUUUCGCAACUCUUUGUUUCCUCGUGUUGGGAACAAGGACCGGGUGCACUCCUGUCUUGUCAAUCUCCUUCUUUUCUGCCAGAAGGAGCGAGACCGCCAGUCCAAAUUGGAUGUUUCCCACAUUAUGUGGAUGGAGUUGAGGUCUGCUGUGUUUGACAAAAAGAAGGUGCACAUUUAUGCUCCGUAUGAGUUCAAGCUGAUUGAGGACACCUGGAAUGCUACCUUCCCUACUGAGCUAUUGGCUACCGAUCACAUGGUCACUCAUGGUCUGCUCAAGCUCCGUCUGAAGGACAAUUGGGGCAUUCCACGUGUUGUUCCAGAGAUUGCUGCUACUGACUCGGCUGGCGAUCAUGAGCCCGAUUAUGAGUUUGUUCCCGGAUAUGAUUCUAAACCUUCUUAGGCCUCAAAGCUUAGGAAGAAUAUGAAGGCUCUUUUGUGCUUCCAGGCGAAGGGUCAGUACAAGGCACAUGUCGAUGCCAAGAAAGCGCGCAGCCGUGACAAGAUGAUCAUGCGAAAGAUUGGACUUGAUGUCCAAAGCGCUUCAGAAGACAAGAUCACUGAUGAUGAGGACUGGAUAAAGGCCAACUGCCAGUGGACGGAGUCUAAGGAUGAGGUGUGUGGUGAGGAGGAGGUGUGGGCUGAGGAGGCGUGUGCUGCUUCAGAUGAGACCGAGAGAGAUGACAACGAGGACUACUAAGCUUCUCCCGUCUCUUCUUUUUGGUGUAUCAAUGCCAAAGGGGGAGAAAGUAUCUUAGUUUAAGAUGGAUUUGCCUUGCUGAGUCAUGAGUGUGUUUAUUUGCAUUUGUUUUCUCUAUCUCGUGAACUCGUUUAUUGCUUGCUAUGGUUUGCAUUUGCCCAAGACUUGUGUGAACUUAUGUGUGGUGUAAGACAUAUGCUACCCCAUCUAUCAUGUUAUGUCUUUGCCGCUGUGAUAUGCUUGCUUAUCUAUUUUACUCUAUUCCGUUCACGCAAGUAUAUAGCCUUGUCUAUAAAAUAUAGGGGGAGUAUUGAUCCUGGUGUGUGCUCUUCGCAUUCCAUAAGCAUAUUCAAAUAGAACACACGUCUAUAUUUUGUAUGUUUUGGGAUUGUCUAAGACUUCUUAGUUCAGUUUUUGGCAAAUCCCGUAUUGUCAUAAACCCACCAAAAAGGGGGAGAUUGUAAGAGCACAAUUUCUCGUAAGUUAUUUUGGUUGUUGAUGACAAUACCCUUUGCGGAAUAAUCGUGUGCGAUAUGCUUUCAGAGAAUUAUCAGGUGGCACAAGACAAUUAUACCCCCCUAGUAAGUGAAAGUGAAGACAAUGCUUAUCUAUUGAUUUAGGGUUGCUGGACUCAAGUCAUAGAUAAUCCCGUACUAUUAAGAGGGGAUCCGCGUUUGAAAAAAUUGGGUGGAACACUAUCUCUCAUUCUUGCUCCCCAUCCCUUUUUUGGAGCAAAGGAGUUGCCCUGCUAUAGUGCCCAUGAAUUUACAGAAGCGGUAGUACCACCCUCGUGAGCGAUAGUACCGAUCCAGUGGUAGUACCGCCCUCGUGAGCAGUAGUACCACUCCAGCGGUACUACCGCCCACCAGAGCCGGUCCCUCUUCCGCUUGUUUUUCUUUUCUGGUGUCGGGGGGCCUUUUUAUAUGGUGGAGCAGAAGUACCGCCCAGGGGGAGCGGUAGUACCGCUCUAGCGGUACUACCGCCCCAUUCUGUUGCGCCCACUUCCACUUAAUAUUUCUCUCUGGCUUCCUACCUCCCCUCAUUCUGGAUGAGCGGAAGCACCGCCCCUACUGGAUGCCCAGCGGAAGUACCGCCCUGGUGCACGGUACUACUGCUUAGUUGGGCCAGUAAGGGGCUGGUAACGGCCAUAUUCGCCCCACUAUAAAUAGGAGUCUUCUUCCUCGAGGAGAGCUUACCUUUUCCCUCUCCAGCUCCAUUGCUGCUCCAAAAGCUCAAACUAGCCCGAUAUCCCUGCCUAGCAAUCAACUCUUGUUGAUUCUCUAGGGUUUGGAGGAGAAGGCCCUCCCCCACACUUCCACCAAGAUAAAAGUUGUUUCCCCCAUUAAUCUCUCACGGAUCUUGUUACUCUUGGAUUUUUUAGCACCCUAGACGGAAGAGGUCACCUCGAAGCCACAUUCCAUUGUGAUGAAGCUUAGUGGUCUUGUUGGGAGCCUCCAACUAAGUUGUGGAGAUCUCCCAACCUUGUUUGUAAAGGUUCGGUCGCGGCCUUCAAGGGCACGACUUAGUGAAAUCACGACACUCUGCAUUGUGUGAGGGCAUGAGGAGAAUACGGUGGCCUUAGUGGCAUCUUUGGGAGCAUUGUGCCUCCACAGCACUCCAAUGGAGACGUACUUCCUCUCAAAGGUAAGGAACUUCAGAAACACAUCCUCGACUUCAUCGGUUCGACUUGUGGUUAUUUCUUACCUUUACUUGUAUUUACUUCUUGCUUGUUAUAGUUGUUGUUAGCAUCAUAUAGGUUGCUCACUUAGUUGCAUAUCUAGACAACCUAUUUGUUGCUAAAUCUAAUUAGUUUAAAGAAAAGCUUAAAUUUUGAUAGUUGCCUAUUCACCCCCUCUAGUCAACCAUAUCGAUCCUUUCACCUUGGAUGGAAGAUACGACACCGUGUGCACAUUAAUUUAAAUGAUGCCAAACUACAAGGAUAUCAAGGCAACUGAAGUCAUUGGAAGGAUUGUUGUUCAUGAAAUGUCACUCAAGGACAAAGAUGAGUUGCACAACAAGUCAAGCGGUGCUUACAAAGUUUCAAGUGAUGCCCCCGCUACUGCAAAUGAUAACCUUGUUACCAAUGAAGAGAUCAACCUCAUGGUCAUAAAAUCCAACAAGUUCUAAAAGAGUUGAAGCAAGGAGAGAAGCUCAAGUUCAAGAUAUGAUGAUAAGCGUUCAUCUAGUCAUGACCGAAACUGCUACAACUGUGGAAAGCCCGAACACUAUUCAAAUGAGUGCUCGGCUCCCCCACAAAAGAAGAAAGGAGUCACCUAGAAGACGAAGCUCAAGAUAUAAGUUAGCUCGCAGAGAGAGAAGGAGUAGAGAAGAUCAAUAUGAAGGAAGACAGCCUCGAAGAGGAAAGGAAUCAAAGAGGAAGGACAAGUACACCCACAUCAUCUCAAGAAGAAGACAUCAAGAUCUUGUUGGAUGGGUUUCCGGCUCCGAGUGUGACAACCAAUCUGAGAGAAGCUACCACUCCAACUCCGACUAUAGUCAAGAUGAAGGUGUUUCCAGUCUUGCACUGGUUUCCUCCAACUCCUAUGACUUAUUUGAUUCACCAAAUGAAGGGAUUGGAAACCGCUUCAUGGCAAAAGGCCUCAAGGUAUCACACCGUGAGUACUUUGACUUUGAUAGUGAUGAGGAUGACUUGUUAGAAGAUGAUGACUUGCUCCUUGAUAAGACUAGUGAUAACAUUGAAAAUGAACUUGAAAGUAAUCUUGCUAGUCAAGAGAAAUCAAAUGAUGAUGAUAAGAAAGAGAUUGAACGAAAAAUUAAAUAAUUAAACACUUUUAAGUUAGCUCAUGAAACUACUCUAGAAGAUCAUAAAGAUCUUGCAAGAACUCAUGAGAAGCUAUGCUUCGAGAAGCUAAAAUGAGAGCAAGAGCAUGAGUUUAUAAAAGCAAUCAAUGACGAUCUUUGAAAGAAGAGUUCUUAUCUAGACAAGCGAUUACUCUUGUGUACUUUUGUUCCACAAGUUGAACCUAAGAACACUAGUAACAAAGGCAAGAAAGUUUCUUCAUCUAGUUACAACAAUGCUAAAGUUAGUUCAAAUGAUGUUGUUGCUAGUAGCUCUCUUGAUUCCACUAAUGAUUAUCUUAGCCAAGUUACACUUGAGCAAGAAAACGAUUUAUUGAAAGGAAUUAUAUUGAUAGAGGUGUCUUCAAGAGUCUUGCCGGAAGUAAGCAAUUCGAGGAAAUUGUGCGCAAGCAAGGUGGACAUCGGAAGAAGCAAGGUGUUGGCUACUUCAAUGCCAACAGAGAUGUUUGCGAAGAAGGUCCAUAUCCCAUCCCGAAGUUCGUUCCUCAAGAGGAAAAGUACGAUCCUACUCUUCCCAAGGGAACAAGCUCUCAAGAUGACCUUCAACCACAAGGCACAAGGGCAAGGGAAAGCUUCAAGAGGAGAUUGACUCAUUUGAGGAAGAACCCCAAGCCAAGGUCGAGUGGAUUCCCAAGGACACUACUAGCACUACCUCAUCUAGUGCUACCACAACUCCAAGGAUCCCCAUCAAGUUGAUGUGGGUCCCCCAGAGGAAGAACUAGAAAGUUCUUGAGGGGUGAAUCCGCCAACGAAAUUCACUAUUAUUCAUUUUGGCAAGAACUAUAUGCAAUCAACUCCAACCAUAUGCAUUAGUUCAAGAAGUCACACAUUCCCACAAAGUUAACCAAAGGACAAGGUAACAAAUGCAUAUUUGGACAUCACCUCUCAUGUACUUCAUGCCAUGUGCAUAGAUAUUCUUGCAUAUGUUCCUUUUGCUUUGGGACUAACCCAUGUGGGUGAGAAGGGUAAUAAACAACGAGAAAUGCUCCCAACUCAAAGAUUAUCUUCAUCAACAAUGAGCACCCACAACUAUUUCACCUACUUGAAGUGUUCUACGACAAAACCCAAGGUUAGUUUAUCCCUCUUAGGGGAGAUGUCACAUCUAGGGGGAGCUUUACUCUAAGACUUGAGUAUAAGUGUCUCCUAAACGAUGUGAGCACUUUAAUGCUUUAUGUAAAAGUGGUAACCCUAGUUGUGCUUAAUCGGUGAGUAUAACCUAUGAUCAAGUAUUCUUACUUGGCUCCUGUCAUGGUUUUGUCACGACAGAUGUCCUCAUGAAUGGACUUAGAUGUGAGGCCAUCAUCGCAUUGUGGCGACUCAAAGGGGUUGAUUGGGGACGAGAGACACAUUUACCCAGGUUCGGCCACUCCAAUGGAGGUAAAAGCCUACAUCGUGCUUUUGUGUCUAUAUUGAUCAGGAUCUCGAUUACAAGGAUGCAUAAUCGUUAACCUAGCUCUCCAAAGUUUCUUACUUGAUCUUUCUGGAUCGAGGUCUCUCCUUUAUAUACAUGUAGAGGCCUCGAGUUUACAACCGAGUCCGGGUCAAAUAAACACCUGUGACUUACUAUAAUUCUAUCUUAUCUUACUUCCCAAGUUUAGGGAAACUCCUGGCGUCUUCUGCCUUCUGGGUCUUGAGUCGCCAUCUCGUGGUUUUGGGCCAUAUGGUGAUUUACUCGAAUAAUCUAUCGGCCCAUCUUCUUGUAUCUUCCUAUGAUUUGACCCGACCCUUUAAGGCAGGUUACAUCCUGGGGUUAUAUCCAUGACAUUAGGCCCCAGGUUGACUUGAACUUGUUCACGACAAGCUAUCCUAAUCAAAUAAUGAGCUGACCAUCCUUGCCUUUUAUCUCCUUCUUAGUUUCUUAAAUAUGUCGGCUCAUAGCUCUCGUUGUCUUAGCUAUCUUUCCUUCGUUGUGUUUCCGUGACUUCACUCACCAGAAUUUAAUGUCGUGUGGUGUCAUGUAGACCAGUUCCUGCAUGCAUUCCUAUCCCGAAAACCGAGGCGUCAUGCCUUCAGGAUUUUACUACGGCUCCUCUAUUCCCGUGCUUUGCAGUUGUCACUUCAGACAUUAUAAAUAUAGGUGGAGGCUCCCUCUUCUUCAGUUUUACCCCCUUCUUUUCAUCUUCUUGUUCUUCCUCUGGUUUGAGCACCCAGUCGUGCCAUUGUUGUUGCUUGCCAUUCACAACUGCCUCGUGUUGCAGCCAUUCCCUGUCCUCUCCCUGGUUUAUUUCACACGUCUUUUGGCAUCUCCUCCAAUCGACAAAGGUAUGUUGUUUCUAUUCCUCUAUAAAUCUUCUCCUCAGUUAUCUUCAAAGUUCUUCGGAGAACCCGAGGGUGCCACAUGUGUUCAUCGCCAUUGUGGCUAUUUGCAUGCUUCGAAUCUUUAUAAACAUGUUAUUGAACACAUUGGCUUCUUAUUCCUGCAUAGGAGGCUCAUAUCCUUUCUUAAGAACUUGCCACACAAACCACUGCCAUUUCCAUGUUCUAGGCUCAGUAAUUAUUUUUUUCCUUUCACAACCUUUUUCAGAUCCGUAGUUGUAGCAAUUUUGAUAGGAAACUGUUUCUCGUGUACUCAAGAGAAUCAGAAAGAAACUUUGUCUUGUCUAAGGUGCCUUUUAUUGUGGAUGUCUUGUAUAAAUGAUCUUAACGCGCCAUAUCUAAAUAUUGCUGGUUUUUGGGAACCGACUCAUGUUUUUGGCGACUCUAUUAUUAAGAUGUCCAUACUCUCUUAUCUUUGACCAUAACACGAAUGUUUUUGCAAUCUUGUGACUGACGUCCACGCGUAUCAUCAUGUCGAAGACUUCCAUUUGCAAUUGGGUGCCUUCACAAGUUUCAGAGGAUCUUCUCGAGGGCUAUGUAGACCAAGGCCUAUUAUCUUCCAUGGAAGUAAUCAGAUGGCGGUUCCUCAAGGGGAGACACACCCAAAGCCUAAUGAAGGAGAAGUUGUGGUUUUCAUAGAUCACCUUCUCACAGAUUUUUCUCCUCCCGGGUCAAAGUUCUUCUGGGAUGUACUCAACUUUCUUCACCUUCAUCCACAAGAUUUUCCCCCUAAUUCCAUACCAAUUUUAUGCCAAUUUCAAGUCUUAUGUGAGGUGUACUUGCAAAUUGAACCCACUGUUCCACUCUUUGUGGAAUUUUUUUAUCUGAAACGCUAGACUAAGUGCAUGGAUGGCCCCAUCCAAGAACUGGGAGGUAUUCCAAUUCAAAGACGCAGAAAUGGAGGCUUUCCUUCUGCUGCCCUGCCAAGUCAUCCCAAAGGGUGGAACAAAACUUUGUUCUAUUGUCAAAAUACCGGCCCAACAGACAAACAUCUCGUGCCAGGUUAUAUACUAAAUCGCCUUCUAGCCAAUUUUCAACUUCCCGACCAAAUUUCUCAAGAGGAACGUGACAAAUUCGCCUUUGUAUUCCAAAAUUGGCGACUCUCCGGUCUCAAGGUUUGACCGAAGUGGACUUGAAACAUUGCUGGGCAUCCUGGAUGAUCCUCCCACCGAGUUGUUGAAAUGCCCUUAUGUGCAAGUAUUUUAUUCGUGCGGAUGACCGUCAGAGAUAUAACAUAGUGAUUUUGAUAGAUGAAGACGUGAAUAAGGUUGUGAUGAAACUGCUUGGGGAAACUUAGGCGGCGUGCGAACAAGUCGGCUUGAAGCCUUUCAAUGCCAUCAACCCGACUCCUUAGGUAUGAAGCUUACUCGGCUAUUACCUGAUUGUCUUUGUAACAACAUUUCCAAGAUUAAGCACUUUAUUUUUAUUUUUAUUUACCCAAAUCUUGCAGAAUUCUUCUUUGUUUUGGAAAAAGAAGAGGAAAGUUCCGACUAGCAGAUCUAAGGCUGCUCCUUCCAAGAAGAAAUGUAAGUCGAUUGCUACUACAAUAUCUCGGCGCCAGUCUACAAUAUCUAGUAGCUCUCUUGAUUCCACUAAUGAUUCUCUUAGCCAAGUUACACUUGAGAAAGAAAACGAUUUAUUGAAAUGGAUUAUAGCUAGAUGUGUCUUCAAGAGUCUUGCCGGAAGUAAGCAAUUUGACGAAAUUGUCCGCAAGCAAGGAGAACAUCGAAAGAAGCAAGGUGUUGGCUACUUCAAUGCCAACGGAGAUGUUUGGGAAGAAGGUCCAUAUCCCAUUCCCAUGUUUGUUCCUAAAGAGGAGAAGUAUGAUCCUACUCCUCCCAAGGGAACAAGCUCACAAGAUGGCCUUAUACCACAAGACCACAAGGGAAAGGGAAAGCUUCAAGAGGACAUUGACUCAUUUGAAGAAGAAGCCCAAGCCAAGGUUUAGUGGGUUCCCAAGGACACUUCUAGCAGUACCUCAUCUAGUGCUACCACAACUCCAAGGAUCCCCAUCAAGGUGAUGUGGGUUCCCAAGAGGAAGAACUAGAAACUUCUUGUGGGGUGACUCCGCCAAUGAAAUUCACUCUUAUUCAUUUUGGCAAGAACUACAUGCAAUCAACCUCAACCAUAUGCAUUAUUUCAAGGAAUCACACAUUUUCACUCAAAGGUGAGCAAGUGACAAGGUAAUUAAUGCAUCUUUGGACAUCACUUCCCAUGUACUUCACUCCAUGCCCAUAGAUAUCCUUGCAUUUGUUCCUUUUGCUUUGGGACUAACCCAGAUAGGUGAUAAGAUUAAGAAACUUCAUCAACAAUGAGCAUCCACCACUACUUCACCUACUUGAAGUCUUCUAUGACAAAACCCAAGGUUAGUUGAUCUCUCUUAGGGGGGAUGUCACAUCUAGGGGGAGCUUUACUCUAAGACUUGAGUACAAGCAUCUCCUAAAUGAUGUGAACACAUUAAUGCAUUAUGUAAAAGUGGUAACCCCACUUGUGCUUAACCGAUGAGUAUGACCUAUGAUCAAGUAUUCUUACUUGACUCCUAAGUCAAUAUACUCAUAUAUAGAUGACUUCGUCAUCGCCAAAGUGCUUGAUAGAUGCUAGAAUGUUUGUGCAUGUUCAUCAUGAUUUCAUUUGACAUCUUAUGGUGUCAGCAUGUUGGUCUGCAUAUCUGUCCCCAUUCAAGGACAUCCAAUUGUUGCUAUUUGGCUUUUGAUUUAUCUUUUGCCAAUUUGAUGGACAAAAAUUCCUAGGACCCCUCUCUAGCUAUCUAUGCUUUCUCAUAUCAAGUUCUAUUCACGCUACAUCAUAGAACUUGAACAUGCACUUCUCGACCCCCCUAUGUGAGGAGCACUCGGAGUUCCGUGUUUACAAGGACUGCUUUCAAAAACCUCUUUGUGAAUCUUGGUGUAACCAACCCCAAAUUCUCGGUUCCACCGAUUCUCAAAGUUGAUAUUGGUUUUAAUCUCGGUACCAUGGAUAACAUAAUCUCGGCUUCACCGAGUUUCCCUGUUAACACAAAACAGUGGAACUCGAUGGCACCAAAAUUUUAGUGUGUGUGACACCAAAAGUGAGGGGUACUUAUAUCCGCGGACCCGAAGUUUUGAAAUUCCAUCUUCAAACGUCAAGUACCCAACCCCAAACUACCGCACCAGGACCCCUUGGUCGUCGCCCUUGUAUCCCCGAGCGGCUUCAUCGUUGGGAAUAAGCGCUGCCUAUGGAAUCUUCACCACCAUCGUCGCCUAGCGGAUUCAUCACCAAGCUAGGGUAUGAACCCGACCCCUUGUGCACUCCUCUAUCCGAAUCAUGUGCACUAGGUUACUUCCAUCUACAAUCCACAAUGUGAAAUUAUUCUAUGCCACAAGAUUCUUCCAUGGAAUAGAGAACAAAGAAAUUCUGGAUCUGAUCUCCUGCAACAUGCAUCUCGGUGAUACCGAGUUAUAAAAUCGGUACCACCAAUUUAGUUUUAGGGUUUUUGAGAACCACUUCGGUGAUACCGAGUAGUCCUUGUCGGUUACACCAAAAAGGCUGCCAAGGUUUCUAUUAAUGCAAGUGGUCAGUCUCGGUGACUCCAAAAACUCCAACCCAUGCUACCAAAAUACAUUCUGUAGUAGAUCAUACCCAAAAGUUUCUAAUUCAAAUUUUGAAAAACUUCUAUAAUUUUGUGAUGCUUAUAUUUUCAAGCUCUUCCACAUCUUUUCAUAGGGUCAACCAGUCUGUGUAUCAGCUUGUCUGCUUGGAUUGCAAGAUGUCAGGUUCCGAUGAAAGUCAGAACAACUUCAGUGAGCCCCAUGUCGAGUCUAAUUUAGGCACUAGUCCUCAGAGGACCUCUUCUCAUCCAGGUACCCCCAGCUCCCAUGGCUUUCCCAAGGCAGCUACGAGGCCCAGGAAGAAGCUGAAUUCUGAUGAAGAAGAUUCUCAUUUUGUUCCUGAACUCCCCAGAAGCAGAAAGAGAAGUCUGCAGUCAAGAAAACUGUGAGGAAGGAGUAUGCUUAACCUUCCAACCUGAGAACUCUAGAGUCUGCAAGGCAAGGGAUGGCACUUACCUUUGAGAGACCUUCUAAGAAGCCACGAGUUAAAAGAGCCAGGAAGAGAACUAUUCAUGCCAUUGGUAGACAAACCUCUAUGUAUGAAGACCCAGCAGAAACUGCUACAACUGCUGAGGAAGAGGAAUAAGAAAUUCCAGCUAAGGCCCCUACUCCAAAAAAUAAGAAGCUUAUGGAAGAUGCUAUGAAGCCUUUAGCUCCUAAGAAGCGUGUAGCUCCCAAGAGAACUACAAAGUACAUACCUGCAGGGCUGACUGAACAUUGUAAUUCAUGGCAUAGAUAAUCCAGUCACAGUCAUACUCAAUAACAAUUAAAAGCAAAGCAUAAAAAUGACGGAGGUGCUCUCUAAUUGGUGCCUUUAUAAGGAGAGGAUGACUCAACAGAAACAUAAAUAGAUAGGCCCUUCGCAAAGGGAAGCAUUGAUUUGCAGAGGUGCGAGAGCUCAAGCUUUUAAAACAGAGAUACAUAAUUUGGAGUGGUAUGCUCUCAUUGUCAACGCAAUGACCAAGAGUUUUCACCAUCUUCCAUGCUACACAAAUUAUAGGCGGUUCCCAAACAGAAAAGUAAAGUUUUGAAUCCCCCACCACCGAUCAAUCACACUCCACGACUAGCCGAAUACUCGGGUGCCGUCCAUACCAACAACAAUCCACGUGGAGUUUUGUUUGCAAUUAUCUUUUUGAUUUGAGCAUGGAACUGGGCAUUCCAAUUACCGACCCUUUCUCAUGAGUGAUAGUGAAUAAACACAUAUCGAGGAUAAAACGCCUAGCAUGGAAGAUAUUGACCGCCCCUUGUCACCACAUGAGCGGUUCGGUCAUACAAAACAUAUUAUUUCUUGAAGAUUUAGAGAGUAGUACAUGAAAAUUUACUUGGAACGGCUGGUAGAUACCGCAUAUAGGUAGGUAUGGUGGACGCAUACGCAACAACUUUGGGUUUAUGGAAGUGGAUGCACAAGCAGUAUUCCUGCUUAGUACAAGUGAAGGAUAGCAAAAGACUGGGAAGCGACCAACUAGAGAGCGACAACAGUCAUCAAUAUGCAUUGAAAUUAACCAACAUUGAGUGCAAGCAUGAGUAGGACAUAAAUCACCAUAAACAUGAAUAUCAUAGAGGCUAUGUUGAUUUUGUUUCAACUAUAUGCGUGAACAUGUGGCAAGUCAAGCCACUUGAAUCAUUCAAAGGAGGAUACCAUCCUGUCAUACUAAAUCAUAAUCAUCUUGAAAUUCAUAUUGGCAUCCAAGACAAACCAUUAUAAGCUCCUAGCUAAUUAAGCAUGGCAUCAGAAACUAUGAUCUCUAAGUAGUCAAUGCAAACAUGUUUCUCUCAUAACAAAUCUGAAUUAGGAACGAAUAGCUAGUCAUAUUUACAAAAACAAAAUAUAUCGAGUUCAUACCAGCUUUUCCACGCUCAGUCACUUCAUCAUAUAUCGUCAUUAUUGCCUUUCACUUGCACGACCGAAUGAAGUGAAUAAUAAUGAGAGUGUUCGUGCAUUGCACUAAGCUGGAAUCUGCAAGCAAGCACAAAGGAGAAGACAAGAUAAUAUGGCUCUUUGACGGAUAAAUAGAUAUGCAGGCGAGAGCCACUAAACAUUGUAACCAUGGUCUUCUACCUUGACCCAAAGAAAAAGAAAACUAUUUACACGGGAAAGCUCCCAACAAGCAAAAGAAGAAUGGGAAAUCUUUUUGGGUUUUCUCAAUCUAAAAAAACACAUGAGAAGAAAGCGAGAAAAAGAAGUAAACUAGCAUGUAUUAUACAAUGGCAAGGUGUGAACACCGACUAUCAAAGUGAAUGUGUGAGCAUGAAUAUAAAGUCGGUGAGAAAAACGUACUCGCCCAAGCUUAGGCUUUUGGCCUAAGUUGGUCUACUCCCAUGGCUGGUCCGGGCGAUAUCCAAAAUCAUAAUGGUGGUUGUACGGGAACGCGGCAGCUACCGCCUGAAUUGCUGCCUCACGGAGGCGAGCAGCCUUUGCCUCCCUCUCAUACUCCUCUGCCUCUCCUCUGGUUAUAUAAUAUCUUUGUUUUACCCGAAAGUCAAAGAAGCCAGGACCAGGAAGGGUAAUAUGGAAAACAUGUUGUCGGUUAAAUAUUAACCGGUAUAGGAGGGAUUCUUUAUCCCUCUCAAGGAACUGAUAACGUGUCAUAGAGGCGCGAUCAAGGAAAGCUGUAUGGAGCGGGAGAUCUCCUUCGCGGAUGGGUACUCCAAGAAAAUUUGCUAUGCGCGUGGCAUAGAUCCCGCCAAAGAAAUCCCCUUCAAUAGCAUUAUUAUUUAGCCUCCUCGUGAUUAUAGCUCCCAUAAUGAAACUUCUAUCACCCGUUACUGCGCUCAUAAGAAUACUAAGGUCAGGUGUGUAGAGGUGACAAUGCUCAAGAACAGGGUCACCAAGGCAGUAAUAAUCCGCAAUGAAUAAAGCACUAGAGCACAAACUAAUUGGACCAAUAGAGGAGUCACAUACCAAGGAACAAUUCCCCCAAAACAGUUUGGUGAAUGGGGCUUUGCACAAGGAAAUUGAAAAAUGGAGCAAGAAGAGCAAGAACACGGGUUUGAGCUGUGGAAUAAUUUUUUCUAGAGGUAGCAGAAGGAGAUGGGAGCUGGAAUAAGUGGAGGGGGGCACGUGGGGCCCACAAGCCAGGCACGCACGGCCACGGGGGGGGGGGUGCCCGCGCCUCCUGGGCUUGUAGCCCACUCGUGCAUCCCCCUGAUUAGCUCUCGAUCUCAGAAUUUUUUGAAAAUUCCAUAAAAAAUAAUACUUGAUUUUCAGGGCAUUUGAAGAACUUUUAUUUUCGGGACACUUUUCUAAGGGAUCAAAAAGCAGAAAACAGGAAAAACUAAAGCUAAUUUUAUCAUUUUUCUUCUAAACAACAGAAAGUAAAAGUUCGGAGGAGAAGGUUGUGACCCCUAGAUUCAUCCAUCUCAUGGUCAUCAAAAGAAAUCCGCCAAUGAGGUUGAUCAAGUCUCCUUGACAAACUUUUUUUGAAUUACAUGAAACUGGAGAAUUUUCGAAUAAUCACUAAGUUACCUCAAUAGGGAUGUGCAUAUCCCCUACAAGCAAUUCAUACUUCAUCUUGACAGUAGGUAUAGGGCAUUCAAAGCUCCCAAUAAGGAUUGAUGAAGUUUUUCAAUAGCAUUGAUGCAAUGUACUCGAUAUUGUUACUUCGGAAAGUGCACCGUAUGCUCAUUACCAUUUACAUGGAAAGUGACAUUGCCUUUGUUGCAAUCAAUAACAGCCCCUGCAGUGUUUAAAAAGGGUCUUCAAGGAUGACCGCCAUGGCAUCAUCCUCGGGAAUAUCAAGAAUAACAAAGUCCGUUAAGAUAGUCACGUUAGCAACCACAACAGGCACAUCCUUGCAAAUGCUGAUAGGAAAAGCAGUUGAUUUGUCGGCCAUUUGCAAAGACAUUUCAGUAGGUGUCAACUUAUCCAAUUCACGUCUACGAUAAAGAGAGAGAGGCAUAACACUAACACCGGCUCCAAGAUCGCAUAAAGCAGUUCUAACGUAGUUUCCUUUAAUGGAGCAAGGUAUAAUGGGCACUCCGGGAUCACCUAGUUUCUUAGGAGUUCCACCCUUGAAGGUGUAAUUAGCGAGCAUGGUGGAAAUCUCAACCUCAGGUAUCCUCCUUUUAUUAGUCACAAUAUCUUUCAUGUACUUAGCAUAAGGAGAUAUUUUGAGCAUAUCUGUCAAACGCAUUUGCAGAAAGACAGGUCUAAUCAUUUCAACAAAGCGCUCAAAAUCCUCAUCAUCCUUUUUCUUGGAUGGUUUGGGAGGAAAGGGCAUGGGUUUCUGAACCUAUGGUUCCCUUUCUUUACCAUGCUUCCUAGCAAUGAAGUCGUUCUUAUGAUAUAUCCUAUUCUUAGGUUGUGGGUUAUCAAGAUCAAUAGGUUCAAUCUCCACAUCCUUAUCAUUGCUAGGUUGAGCAUCAACAUGAACACCACUAUCGAUAUUAUCACUAGGCUCAUGUUGAUCACCAGAUUGUGUUUCGGCAACAGAAACAGAGAUAUCAUUUGGAUUCUCGGGUGUAACAGUAGCAGGUUUGCUAGCAUGCAAGUUCCUAUCAUCUUUCUUUUUCUUCCUAUUACUAGGAUGACUAGGUGCCUCAGUGCUAACUCCUUGAGAAUCUUGUUCAAUUCUCUUAGGAUGAACCUCAUGAUACAAAGGUUCUUGGGUCAUUCUACCACCUCUAGUGAUAACUCUAAUAGACUUGUCGUUUAGCUCAUUGAGCAAGUCAUUUUGAUCCUUAAGUACUUGUUCUACUUGAGUGGUGACCAUAGAGGCAUGUUUACUGAAGAGCUUAAGAUCAUUGACAUUUCUAUCCACACAAGCACUUAUAUGACCAAUCAUGCGAGCAUUUUGCCUCAAUUGUAUGCUAACAUAAUCAUUGAAACUUUGUUGUCUGGCAACAUAGUUAUCAAAUUCAUCUAAGCAUAAGUUAGCAGGUUUAUCAAAAGGAAUAUCACUCUCAUUGAAUCUACGAAGAGAAUUUACCUCUACUACCUGUGUUGGGUUAUCAAGACCAUGUAUUUCUUCGAUAGGUGGUAGAUUCUUAACAUCUUCAGAUUUGAUACCUUUCUCUUGCAUAGAUUUCUUGGAUUCUUGCAUAUCUUCAGGACCGAGGAAUAGAAUACCUCUUUUCUUCGGAGUUGGAUUCGGAGGUGGUUCAGGAAUAAGCCAAGCAUUCUCCUUGCGCAAGAUAUUAUUCAAUAGAAUCUCAGCUUGUUCCACAGAUUGUUCCCUGAAAACACAACCAGCAAACUAUCUAGGUGGUCCCUAGAAGCAUCGGUUAGUCCAUUAUAAAAGAUAUCAAGUAUUCCAUUUUUCUCAAGAGAGUGAUCAGGCAAAGCAUUAAGUAGCUGGACAAUCCUCCCUGAAGCUUAUGGGAGACUCUCUUCUUCAACUUUCACAAAGUUAUAUAUAUCCUGCAAGGCAGCUUGUUUCUUAUGGGCAGGAAAAUAUUUCUCAGAGAAGUAGUAGAUCAUAUCCUGGGGACUACGCACACAACCAGGAGCAAGAGAAGUAAACCAAGUCUUAGCAUCACCCUUUAGCGUGAAAGGAAACAAUUUAAGGAUAUUGUAGUGGCGGAUCUUUUCCUCACUCAUGAAUAGGGUGGCUAUAUCAUGCAGCUUAGUAAGAUGUGCUACAACCGUUUCAGGCUCAUAACCAUGAAAAGGAUCAUAUUCGACCAAAGUGAUUAAAUCAGGACCGACAGAGAAUUCAUAAUCCUUAUCAGUAAAAAAGAUAGGCGAAGUAGCAAACUUAGGAUCGUAUUUCAUCCUAGCGUUCACAGAUUUUUCUUUCCACUUGCGCAAUAAAUUCUCAAGAUCAUAGCUAUCCUUACAAGCAAGAAAGUCCUCGACUACCUCUCCCUCCAUAACAUAACCCUCGGGUAUAUCAGGCAAUUCAUAUCUAGGAGAGCUAGUUCUAACAGGUGUAACAACAGGUUCUAGUUCAAUAAUUUCAGCAGUUUCAGAAGUAUCAUCACAUUCAGCAGCAACUCUAGCAAUUUGUGCAUCAAGGAAUGCACCUAGUGGCAAAGCAGUAUCAAGCAAAGCAUCAUCAUAAGAAUCAUGUAUAGCAUAAGUAGAAUCAUUAAGCACAGGCGACACAUCAGAAUUUCUAGUAGGUGGUGGUGUCACAAAUUUACUCAUAACUGAAGGUGAAUCAAGUGCAGAGCUAGAUGGCAGUUCCUUACCUGUCCUCGUAGUUGAGGGCAAGACUUUAGUUUUUGGAUCUCUCGGAUUGAUCAUAGUGAUCAACAGACGUAAAUUCCAAGUGACUCAGAGAAUAGUGCUAGGCCUCCCCGGCAACGGCGCUAGAAAAUAGUCUUCAUAACCCACAAGUAUAGGGGAUCGCAACAAUUUUCGAGGGUAGAGUAUUCAACCCAAAUUUGUUGAUUCGACACAAGGGGAAGCAAAAGAAUAUUCUCGAGUAUUAGCAGUUGAGUUGUCAAUUCAACCACACCUGAAAGACUUAGUAUCUGCAGCAAAGUUUCAGUAGCAAAGUAGCGUGAUAGCAAUGGUAGCAAGUACCAGUAGGAAAAACUCAUAGGAAUUGGAUCGGUGAUGGAUAAUUAUGCCGGAUGACAUUCAUCAUGUAUCAGUUAUAACAUGGGGUGAUUUGUAACUAGCUCCAGUUCGUCAAUGUAAUGUAGGCAUGUAUUCCGUAUAUAGUCAUACAUGCUUAUGGAAAAGAACUUGCAUGGCAUCUAUUGGCCAUCCCUCCUGUGGCAGCGGGGUCCUAAUGGAAACUUAGGGAUAUUAAGGUCUCCUUUUAAUAGAGAACCGGAACAAAGCAUUACCACAUAGUGAAUACAUGAACUCCUCAUACUAUGGUCAUCUCUGGGAGUGGUUCCGGCUAUUGUCACUCUAGGGUUGCGGGGUCAUAACACAUAGUAGUUGACUACAACUUGCAAGAUAGGAUCAAGAACACACAUAUAUUGAUGAGAACAUAAUAGGUUCAUAUCUGAGAUCAUGGCACUCGGGCCAUAGUGACAAGCAUUAAGCAUGACAAAGUAGUAGGAACAUCAACCUCAGAACAUAGUGGAUACUUGGGAUCAAACCCCAUCAAAACUAACUCGAUUACAUGACCGUCCAGCAAGCCUACGAUGAGAUUACUCACGAACGGUGAAGAGCAUCAUGGAAUUGGUGAUGAAGGAUGGUUGAUGAUGACGACGGCGACAAUUUCCCCUCUCGGGAGCCCAAAACAGACUCCAGAUCUGCCCUCCAAAGGAAGAACAGGUGGUGGCGGUGGCUCCGUAUCGUGAAACGCGAUGAACUCUUCUCUAUUAUUUUUUCUGGGCGAGAGAGACUAAAUAGAGCUGGAGUUGGAGGCGGCGGAGCCCCGAGGGCCUCACAAGCCUGCCAGGCGCGGCCAGGGGGGCGCCUCCUGGGCUUGUGGGCUCCUUGCUCCGUCCCUCCAGGUAUUUCUUGCGCCAAUAUUUUUUAUAUAUUCCACAAAAAAUCCUCGUAAAUUUCCAGGUCAUUCCAAGAACUUUUAUUUCUGCGCAAAAACAACACCAUGGCAAUUAGAGUCCGGGUUAGUUCCAUUCAAAUCAUGCAAAUUAGAGUCCAAAACAAGGGCAAAAGAGUUUGGAAAAGUAGAUACGAUGGAGACGUAUCAAGUGGCGGCGGAUCUCUCCGGUGACCCAGAGCUUUCGAGAGGUGCCACGCGGCUGCCAGGAACACCGUUGACACCACGGACAAGGAGGGGGCAGCGAAAGACGGCUCGGGCGCCUUGGCUGUCACAGUAACUGCAUAGAGCGCGCGUUGUGGCAUGCCAGUACUGUGGUCACCAUGGUUACGGCUGCCACAAGGCCACACAAGCCUGGAGACCUUGUCCAUUGCGUCGACUAGACUCUCAUUAGUCACCAUCCACCACUGGUUAGACCAGUCACACUCCCGUGCGAAGUGUAGCUUCAACUACAAUUUCUGCCUGCAGACUUGGGGAGUUCUAGAGCUCAAAUGGAUUAGGGUUCGAGCAAGCUAGCAUGUCCGAGUUAAUCAGCAUAGGAGGGACUACAAACUGGCAAGGUUUGAAAAGAUUUGAAGAUCAAAUGAAUAUAGUUCCUUUGAAAAUCACCUUUCUGGUACAGAAUGCAAAUGAGCUCAUGGCACUCACAUGCAAGCCCUGCUAAUGGUGAAACUUGGUGGAGGAGUGUUAUUAGGUAGUGCACACAUGUCCAAAAUUUUAUAGAUCAUUUGUGCACCCCUAGCUAGGGCUUCCUUCACAAAGGUUCAAUUUUAACAGAAACUUAGCAGAGUUUUCCUGCUCAAAACUUGUAUUGGACCAUCAGAUGUUUUUACAUAUUGGCACUAAAUAGGAUCCCUAGGAGCUAAGGGAAUUUAUUGGGAAUUUUCUAAAACAGGAAAAAUAGGGUUGCUUCACAAAGUGACAAUUCUAGUCAGAAAAGAAAUAAUUAUUCUGGCCAAAAUUUUACAUUGGGCAAGGAAAUGUUUUUGAAGAUUUUGAAAUAAUAUGAUACUGAGAAUAUGUGGAAAACGUUUUGGGGUUUAUAGCUUAUCCCAACUAUAGGUUUCUUCACAACCCAUGGUGAUGCCUUAAUUCCCCAAAAUAUAAAAAGAAUUAUUUGAAAGAAUUAAAUAUUGCAAAUUAAUCCAAGAAAUGUUUUGGCAAUAGGAAAAAGGUUUUAGGUUAAUUGAGACAAGAAAUCAGAGACUCACAAUCCAACUUGCUUGAAAGCAUUUGAAAAUCCACCAAUUUGAAAGUGAAACUCCAAAAUAUUUUGAAAAGAAAAGAAGUUUGAAAAAUCAGGGUGUUACAACGCGUCCAGUAGAGUGCCGGCGUGCGGGGCGGCCGAGUGACGAUGGAGUGUCUCGCCGAGUGGUGAUGCGUGGAGCUGUCGAGUGACGAAGGCGUGUCUCGCCGAGUGGCGACGCGCGGAGCUGCCGAGUGAUGACGACACGUCCAAUAGAGUGACGACACACGGAGCUGCCGAGUGACGAAGGCGUGUCUCGCCAAGUGGCGAUGUGUGGAGCUACCGAGUGAUGAAGACGCGUCCAAUAGAGUGACGGUGCACGGACCUGCCGAGUGAUGACUACGCGUCCAGGAGAGUGACGGCAUACGGGGCGGCCGAGUGAUAACUACGCGUCUAGCAGAGUCACGGCGCACGGGGGGCCGAGUGUCGAUGGAGCGUUCAGUAGAGUGACGGCGGGCGGGGUGGCUGAGUGUCGAUGGAGCAUUCAGCAGUGACGGCGCGCUGAGCAGCCGAGUGAUGACGACGCGGCCAUCAUAGUGAUGGCGCGCGGAGCUGCUGAGUGAUGACGACGCGUCUAGCAGAUUGAUGGCGCGUGGGGCGCCCGGAUGAUGGAGAUGCGUCCAGUCGAGUGGUGGCAUGCUGGACGACCAUGUGAUGAAGACGUGCUCGGCGGAGUGAUGGCGCGCGGGGUGCCGAGAUGAUGGAGAUGCGUCUAGCUGAGUGGUGGCGCGCUGGGCGGCCAUGUGAUGAAGACGUGCUCGGCGGAGUGAUGGAGGUGCGUCCAGCCGAGUGGUGACGCGCUGGGCGGCCAUGUGAUGAAGAUGUGCUCGGCGGAGUAAUGGCGCAUGGGGCGCCCAGAUGAUGGAGAUGCGUCCAGCCGAGUGGUGGCGCGCUGGGUGGCCUUGUGAUGAAGACGUGCUCGGCGGAGUUAUGGCGCGCGGGGCGCCUGGAUGAUGGAGAUGCGUCCAGCCGAGUGGUGGCACACUGGGCGGCCAUGUGAUGAAGACGUGCUCAACUGAGUGACGAGGCGUGAGGGGGCCGAAUGAUGGUGUAACUUAUGUACGAAGAAUAGGAGAAGCCAACGUAAAAAAUUCUCAAAGUAAUAUGAGUUUGCUGAAAUGAUUUGUGUAAAUUACACCCGUAGACAACCGCCGGGUGUGCCACGUGAUUGCUGGUUUGGAACCAGCAAGAGUCUGAAAGAGUGAAGGAUCCAACUAAACUCGUGUGUGUACUGGAUCCAAAUGAAGUGGAAGUGAAGUGUUUCGACAUGAAAAUAAACAACCACUUCAACUAGCUUCCAUGCCGGUGUGCCGUGUUGAGAGACUGAUGGUGGAGGGAAAUCUCAGAAGGUGGAGCCGCUGUGUGUCCCCGCUGCCGGCGUGCAGCUGAGGCCUCGUCGCUCCGGAGGCCGAUCCGUUUCAGCCGACGCUGCUACUGUGGGCCGCGCUGAACUGUCGUGGAGUCAUCGUCUGCGUGAGGUGACUAGUUGCCCAAACCACCGUUUGUAGCUCUUUUGAUUCUUGUAUGUGAUUGCACCGAUCAGCAUGGAUGCAUGAACGUGUGAACAUGCAAAAGAGACAAAAACCAAUUAGUAGAUCGUCGAUUGAUCAUUAGAUCAAAAGAGGAUAUCAUUCAGAAGAGGGAAAACUCCCGAUCCAUCCAUUUGUGAUUCGUCCGGUGAAGAUAUAUCUUUUCCCUUCCUUUUGCGAUACUUCAGUUACUUGUUGUGCUAAGACGAACAUUAUGCUCAAGAAGAACAUGAAAUAAAACAUAGACGAAUAAACCAAACCAUCGGCAUCAUGGUUCGAUGGACGCCAUGCCCCAUGGUGGACGCCAAAUGUCGUGGUAACGAUUCCGGCAUUAGAGAGGGGUAGGAUAGCGGAGCAUGAUCUAUCGAGAUGCAAAUGGGUGACACAUUGGUUUUAGCGAGUUUGGGCCUCUCACGGUGGAGAUAACAACCCUACGUCUCGUGCUCCGGAGAGGCUUUUCUUAUCUAUCAUGAACACGGAGUUACAUGGUGUAUUAGAGAGAGAGGAAGAAGAACAGGUCUCCAAACUAAGUCCUCAGACUAGAGAGAGCCAGGGCUCCAUGAGGAAGAAUGAGCCCCGGUGGGAGAAGAUGCUAACCGACCUAUGUGGUGGGGGUGGCUUAUAUAGAGUGCGCCACCCCCUCACCUCAUAUGUUACAAUGUGGGGCAUUAAUUCCAUGAUGUGAGCCCACUACAAAAACUACGCUAUGAGGACGAUGCUCCGACUGCCUUGCUCACUGUUGAUCCUUGCAUAUCCGAGUGAGUCGUGCGACCGAGUGGUUGACUGUCGUCUGAGUGGACAGACUGUACUCAUCAGAGUGGAUAGGUUUUACUCGUCCGAGUGGAUAGAUUGUACUUGCCCGGACCCACCUCAUCUGUGGACCCCAUGCUAUUAUGGUAUUUUGACCCUUCAUGUGCCUACCCUUUUUGUGUAUCCCCAACAUCCUCCAGUCCCACGAUGUUUCUUUUCCCUGAAAGAACUAUGUGGCGCUUUGGCUCAUCGUAUGAUGUAUUUGCUUCCUUACCUUUUCUUUUUCUUGGCUUGGUAGACAUAUCCUUCACAUAGAAAACCUACGCCACAUCAUUGGCUAGGACGAAUGGUUCAUCUGUGUACCCAAGAUUGUUGAGAUCCACUGUUCUCAUUCCAUACCACGGAUCUUCCUUUACCCCGCCUCCUUUCAGAUUGACCCAUUUGCACCAAAACAAAGGGACCUUCAAAUUUUUCCAUAGUCAACUUCCCAUAUAUCCUCUAUGUAACCAUAAUAUGUGUAUUUUGGCCUAUUGUUGGUGUUUGCUGCAUCAAAGCGGACACCACUGUUUUGGUUGGUGCUCUUUUUAUCUUGAGCAAUCGUGCAAAAUGUAUUCCCAUUUAUCUCGUACCCUUUAAAAGUCGAUAUAGUCAAAGAUGGUGACUUGGCGAGCAAGUACAGGUCAUCUCCAACUUCACGGUCAUGCAUGAGACGUGUUUGCAACGAACUGCCGAAUGACUACAUGUGUACGUUUGAUCCAGGGAGCAGACUGCUCCGGGUUCUUGGAGCAUACAAUAUACAUAUGUUCCUCGAUAUACGGAUCCACCAAGGUGGAAUUUUGUAGAACUGUGUAGUGUGCUUCCGCCCUAGAAUGCCCGUCCUUACAUAUUACUGAAUCCUUUCCUAGCGUGCCUUUUCCACCCAGUCUGCCCUGAUGCCUCGAUUCAGGAAGACCAUUCAACUUAAUAUCAGAAAUAAAGUCAACACAAAAUUCAAUGACCUCCUCUGUUUCAUGGCUCUUGGAGAUGCUUCAUUCUGGCCUAGCAUGGUUGUGAACAUAUUUCUUUAAGACUCGCAUAAACCUCUCGAAGGGGAACGUAUUGUGUAGAAAUACAGGGCCCAUAAUGGAAAUAUCUUCGACUAGGGGAACUAGGACGUGUGUUAUGAUAUGGAAGAAGGAUGGUGGGAACACCAGCUCGAAACUAACAAGACAAUGCCCCAAAUCAUUCUGUAACCUUGUUAGGAAUUCUGGAUCGAUUACCUUCUACGCGAUAGCAUUGAGGAAUGCACAUAGCUUCACAAGGGAUGAUCGGGCGUUUUCCGGUAGAAGUCACCUCAGUGCAACCGGAAGCAAUUGCGUCGUAAUCACGUGGCAGUCAUGAGACUUUAGGUUCUGGAAUUUUUUCUCUGUCAUAUUUAUUAUUCCCUUUAUAUUCGACGAGUAGCCAUAUGAGACCUUCAUACUAACCAGGCAUUCAAAGAAGAUUUCCUUCUCUUCUUUGGUAAGAGCGUAGCUUGCAGGACCUUCAUACUGCUUUGGAUUCAUGCCGUCUUUUUUGUGCUUACAUUGCUGGUUCUCCGUGCCUCCGGGUUAUCUUUUGUCUUCCCAUACACGCCCAAGAAGCCUAGCAGGUUCACGCAAAGAUUCUUCGUCACGUGUGUCAUCUCUAUUGCAGAGUGGACCUCUAGGACUUUCCAAUAAGGUAGGUCUCAAAAUAUAGAUUUCUUCUUCCACAUGGGUGUGUGUCCGUCAAAGUCAUUCGGAACCGAUUGUCCGCAAGGACCCUUUCCAAAAAUUACCUUUAAAUCCUUGACCAUAUGAAGUAUAUGAUCACUAUUAUGGUGGCCAGGCUUCUUUCAGUGAUCUGCCUCACCUUUGAAAUGCUUGCCUUCUUUUCUUAAGAGAUGCUUGAUCGGAAGAAAUCGACGAUGUCCUAGGUACACAUUCUUCUUACAUUUAUCCAAGUAUAUACUUUUGGUAUCAUCUAAAUAGUGCGUGCAUGCAUAGUAUCCCUUGUUUGUCUGUCCUGAAAGGUUACUAAGGCAGGACAAUAAUUGAUGGUUACAAACAACAACGCUCGUAGGUCAAAUUCCAGCUGUUUGUGUUCAUCCCACACACGUACACCUUUGAUAUCCCACAACUAUAGAAGUUCUUCAACUAAUGCCCUCGGGUACACAUCAAUGUUGUUGUCGGGUUGCUUGGGGCCUUGGAUGAGCACUGGCAUCAUAAUGAACUUCCGCUUCAUCCACAACCAAGGAGGAAGGCUAUAGAUACAUAGAGUCACGGGCAGGUGCUACGAUUGCUUCUCUGCUCCCCAAAAGGAUUAAUGCCAUCUGCACUCAAACCAAGCCAACAGUUCCUUGGGUCAUCUGCAAAGUCCGGCCACUCUCUCUCGAUUUUCCUCCACUGCGACCCAUCUGCGGGUACUCUCAACUUCCUGUCUUGCUUACGCUCGUCUUUGUCCCAUCGCAUCAACUUGGCAUGCUCUUUGUUUUGGAACGAACGUUUCAAUCGUGGUAUUAUAGGCGCAUACCACAUCACCUUGGCAGGAAUCCUCUUCCUGGGGCGCUGGACCUCAACGUCCUCACCAGGGUUAUCGCGGCCGAUCUUAUAGCGCUCGGCACCGCAUACCGGGCAUGCAUGCAAAUUCCCGUACUCCUCACCGCGGUACAAGAUGCAGUCAUUAGGGCAUGCAUGUAUCUUUUGCACCUCUAAUCCUAGCGGACAGAUAGUCUUCUUUGCUUCGUAUGUACUGUCGGGAAAUUCGUUGUCCUUUGGAAGCAUCUUCUUUAACAAUUUCAGCAUAUUUUCAUAACCCUUGUCAGAUACACCAUUCUCUGCCUUCUAUUGCAGCAAUUCCAGUGUGGUGCCCAACUUCUUCUUGUCAUCUCCGCAAUUUGGGUACAACAAUUUCUUGUGAUCCUCUAACAUGCACUUCAACUUCAGCUUCUCCUUUUCACUUGCGCAGUUUCCCUUUGCAUCAGCAAUGGCCCGACCAAGAUCAUCAGCAGGCUCAUUUGGUGCCUCUACUUCAGCAGGCUCAUCUGGUGCCUCUACUUCCCCCAUUGUAGUACCAUCGUAUCAUGGGAACAAAGGAUAGCCGUCAUCAUCAUGUUCUUCAUUCUCGCCGGACAUGAAACCGGACGUAAAUAGGUGGACGUGAAUGACUCUUGACAUAUUGCAAGUUUUAUCAUUCUUACAGACAUGGACAACACAUAAAACCAUCUCGUUGGUUUGCCUCAGCUAUGCGCAGAAAACUCUGCAAGCCAUUAAUGAACUGGGGAGAGCGUCGGUCGUCAUACAUCCAUUCUCGGUUCAUCUUCAUUACAGAAGACCGAAAAGACCAAAUUUAUAAAAGUUCACACAUAUGGUUCAUACACACGUAUUCUCAUAAAACAACAUAGAAGAGUUUCUAGCUAAAGUAUAUAAAUGCAAGAACAAAUGUGACCAAGAUCGCAACUAAGGUAACAAUUGAUCCAACAUCAUAGUGAUACAAAGCCUCUUUAUUAAGGGCAUAUUUUCUAAUCCUUCUAAUCUUCAAGCGCAUUGAAUCCAUCUUAAUCUUGUGAUCAUCAACGACAUCGACAACAUACAACUCCAAUAUCAUCUUCUCUUCUUCAACUAUUUUCAAUUUUCCUUUCAAAACCUGGUUUUCUUUUUCAACUAAUUUUAACUUCUCGACAAUAGGGUCCGUUGGAAUUUUCGGUUCAACUACCUCCUAGAUAAAAGUAUCUAUCUCAACUUCAUGGGCAUAAUUGUCAUAAAUAUGAAAUGCAACAAAUAGUUAAAGAAUAGAAUAUACCACAUCUGAAUCGUAAACCGGACGAGGGCCGACGGACACGGAUAUCAAAACCAUGGCACUUCGUAUAACAAACAAUUAUACAAGUAAGAAUAUUAUACAAGUAACUAUCUAAAUCAUACAAAUAAGAUCUAUUUUGUAAAAAGGAUAAGAACAAGGGCUUCACCAAGGUGGUGUCGACGGCGACGGGACGGUGCGUGCGAUCAACGGUGCUUAGGACGGGGACGACACUAAGUAAACCACACCUACACAUAUGCAAACUAGCAAGUUAAUUUGAGCUCAAAUUGCAUAUAAAUCAAAUAAACUACCACAUAAUUACUCCCAAACUAAAAUCCACAAAUCACUAUACUUAUAGAGCAUUGCACAAGUCGAUCUAGCAAUGAGAGAUGAAAGGACAAAGUUGCUAACCUUUGUGAACACUUGGAGAGAUGGGGUGCCUCAAACCUUGACAAAUCUAGGAAAAAAUGGAGGUUGAGCUCGAGCCAAGGUGGAGAACAGAGAGGGAAAUGAAGAAAAUAGAGCAAUGUGCUCGGGCUGGACGAAGGUGUUUAUAUAGGAAAACGUGUAGUCUCAGUUUUUAUCACAAUGCAUGACUAAUGGUCUACCUAUAGUCCCAGUUUUGAUACAAACCGGGACUAAAGGGGCUAGUGGGGGCCCCAGCCUCACACGAGACUGCACGCUUGUCGUCUCCCGGUAAGUGUCUUGCCCCUUACUCCAAGUCUGGCAGGUUUCUUCUUGUCCAAGAAAAAUCAUUCCGGAGAUUUAUUCCGUUUGGACUCCGUUUAAUAUUCCUCAUCUGCAAUACUCAAAAACAUGGAAAAAACAGAAACUGGCACUAGGCUCUAGAUUAAUAGGUUAGUCCCAAAAAUAAUAUAAAACAGCAUAUUAAUGCAUAUAAAACAUCCAAAAGAGAUAAUAUAAUAGCAUGGAACUAUCAAAAAUUAUAGAUACGUUGGAGACGUAUCAAGCAACACCAAGCUUAAUUCCUGCUCAUCCUCGAGUAGGUAAAUGAUAAAAAUAGAAUUUUUGAUGUGGAAUUCUACCUAACAUAUUUAUCCAUGUCAUAUUCUUUAUUGUGGCAUGAAUAUUCAGAUCUAUAAGGUUCAAAACAAAAGUCUAAUAUUGACAUAAAAACAAUAAUACUUCAAGCAUACUAACAAGGCAAUUGCUUCCCUUGGAAUUAACAUGGUCGUAGAAAUUUAUCCCUACCAAAUCAUAUGGUCUGGCUAUGCUCCAUCUUCCCCACACAAAGUAUCUAAAUCAUGCACAACCCCGAUGAAAGUCAAGCAAUUGUUUCACACUUUUUAUGUUCUCAAACCUUUUCAACUCUCACGCCAUACAUGAGCAUGAGCCAUGGAUAUAGCACUAUAGGUGAAAUAGAAUAUGGUGGAGGUUGCAAAAAUAAAGAGGAGAAGAUAGUCUCACAUCAACUAGGCGUACCAACGGGCUAUGGAGAUGCCCAUCGAUAGAUAUCAAUGUGAGUGAGUAGGGAUUGCUAUGCAACAAAUGCAGUAGAGCUAUAAGUGUAUGAAAGCUCAAAAAGAAAACUAAGUGCUUGUGCAACAGAUGAAAUUCCACUAGUUAUAUGAAAGUUACAAAAUAGGAGACUCUCUAUGAAGAAGAUGGUGUUUGUUUGAAGCACAUGUGUGGAAAAAGAUAGUAGCAUUUUCCCUUCUCUCUUUCUCUCAUUUUUUUGGUGGCAUCUUUGUCCUCUAUUAUUUUUUAUGGGCUUCUCUGGCCUCUUUUAUUUUUUGUGAAGUUCAGAGACUCAUCCCAACUUGUGAGAGAAUCAUAGCUUCCACUAUCCUUUUCUCACAUAGGACAAUGCUCUAAUAAUGCAAAUCAUCACACUUUUAUUUACUUACAACUCAAAGAUUACAAGUCGAUAUCUAGAACAAAAUAUGACUCUGUAAGCAAUAUGGAAGUGAUGGUGUGUGUCAUAAAAACAAUAGGAUGAUGGUGUUGCAUGGCAAUAUAUCUCAGAAUAGCUAUGAAAAUGCCAUAAUAGGUAGAUAUUGUGGUUGUUUUGAGGAAAGUAUAUGGUGGCUGUUUUGAGGAAGGUGGGUUUAAUGUAGCGACGAAAGUUGUGCGGUACUAGAGAGGCUAGCAAAGGUGGAAGGGUGAGAGUGCGUAUAAUCCAUGAACUCAGCAUUAGUCAUAAAGAACUCCCAUACUUAUUGCAAAUGCCUAUUAGUUAUCAAAGCAAAGUAUUAGACGCAUGCUCCUUGGGGAAGGGUUGGUAGGAGUUAACCAUCGCGCGAUCCCGACCUCCACAAAAAGGUUGACAAUCAUUAAACAAAUCAUGCUCCGACUUCAUCACAUAACGGUUCACCAUACGUGCAUGCUAAGGGAAUCACAAGCUUUAACACAAGUAUUUCUUCCAAUUCACAAUUACUUACUAGCAUGACUCUCAUAUUACCAACUUCAUAUCUUAAAACUAUAUGCAAGGAAUCAAACUUCUCAUCAUAUCCAAUGCACUUAAUAUGAAAGUUUUUAUUAUAUCCCUCUUGGAUGCCCAUUAUAUUAGGACUAAAUUCAUAACCAAAACGGAUUACCAUGCUAUUUAAAGAACUCUUAAAAUAAUAUAAGUGAGGUACGAGAGUUUAAUAAUUUCUAUAAAACACCGCUGUGCUCUAAAUGAUAUAAGUGAAGCACUAGAGCAACAUUGCCUAGCUCAAAAGAUAUAAGUGAAUGAUAACGAGUUUAUGUAUAUACUUCUCGCACCUCGUUGGACCCCAAGUGGAAGGUGGAGAUGUAGGCAGCAGCAAAGUUCCCUUACACAGAGAUUGUAAGGUUUAUCUAACCAAGAGGACUCCUAGGCUCAACAAGUAGGUGUCUUCCACCCUGGCGAUAGCAGAAGACGUGGACCUGCACACACAAUAAAUAACUUUGCUCCCAACGAGUAUAGAGAGGUUGUCAAUCUUUCCGGCCUUGUAGUUUGCAAAGGAUCAAAACACAAGCGGGAAGGUAAUAGUGAUUGCAAUGGAAAAGUAAAUGAAAGCGGUAAAUGAUGGAGGUGUAAGCAAUGAUGGUGAUAUGGACCGGAGUCACAUGAUGUUCACUAGUGAUGUCUCUCUCCCAAAAGACGAUAAACAACUAUGCUAGGGUAAACAAAUCAUAGUUGGGCAAUUGACAGAAUUAUGCUGGCACCGCAAUGCUAAUUAUGCUCCUUGAUAGUUAGAGGUUCAAUAGUAAUGGGCAAUACGCCAAGACAAGUAGACCGUUUACUCAUAAUCAUCUACUUACUAAUCAUCCAUCUUGAUAUAUCUAUCUAGAACAUCUCUCCGGUAUUAAGUUGCGAGCGCAACCCAAACUGUAGACUAAAAGCAACGGACAACUACAUUAACGAACUAUGCGUAAGGUAAACAAUCCUUGCAACCGUGGUCACAAGCACCAUUGUUUUCUCCCUGGUGGCAACAAGCACAUCCCCUAGUCUCUUGUUUCUGUCACUCAAACUAGACAUCGAGGGGCCCGAACCCACAACCAUGCAUAAUGCUCCCUCUUGGAGUUGCGAUCUACUACUUGGCCAAAGCAAUAAAAAGCAAAGGAGAACAUGCAUGAAUCACUAAGGAACGUAAUAUAAAAGGAUAAUCAAAUAUAUAACUCAUAAAAUCUGAACAUAAUCUCAUAAUCCAUCGGAUCACAACAAAUCCAUCAUAGCAAUAGCAAGAGAAUUACAUAGAUUCCUUUAUCGUGUAGGGCAGCUCACAAGGACUAACCAUUGAAGCACAAGAUUGGAGAGAAGACAUCACAUAGCUACUGGUCGUGGACUCAUGGUCCAAGGGAAACUACUCACGGCACGUUCGGGAGGCGUCCAUGGUGGUGGAGAAGCUCCCGGAGGUCAAUCCUCCCUCCGACAUUGUGCCGGGAAGAGGUCUCCUAACACUCCCGAUCUCGGAAGUGCUGCGGCGGCGGAACGAUGAAGAAAUUCGCGAUUCCAGAAAGUCUGCGAGGGUUUCCUCUCGGGACUCUAAAUAUAGGCCAAAGGAGGGCACCGGAGGAGGUGGGACCCACCCAGACGACCUCCUAGCGCGGCCUAGGGCCUGGCGGCGCCAGCAGGCCACCUGGGAGGCCCCUGGCCCCCCUCGGGCCCUCCUUUGGUGAUCCUGAAGCUACUGUUUCUCUUAUUUUUUAUAUAUUUUUUCUGGAUUUUUUCGGGCUUCGGAAAAUUGGGUAAAAGCCCCUGCAAAAAAGACAUCAGCAGACAUAAACUGGCAUUGGGUGCACUGAGUUAGUAGGUUAGUCCAAAUAUGUGUAAAAUGGUAUAAAAGUGUAGCAAAACAUAUAACAAUCUCACCCAAAAGAUCAUAGAACAAGCAUAAAUUAUAGAUAUGUUUGGGACGUAUCAGUGAAGCACAUAGAGCAUUCAAACAAAUUAAUGAUUCAGCUUGCCUCUCUCAAAAGAUGUGUGCAGCAAGGAUGAUUGUGGAAAACUAAAAAAUAAAGACUCAUAUCAUACAAGACGCUCCAAGCAAAACACAUAUCAUGUGGUGAAUAAAAAUAUAGUCUCAAGUAAAUUACCGAUGGAUUGAAGACGAAAGAGGGGAUGUCUUUUGGUGCAUCCCCAAGCUUAGGCUCUUUGGUAUCCUUGAAUAUGGGUUGUGGUGCCUUGGUCAUCCCCAAGCUUAGGCUCUUUCCACUCCUUAUUACAUAGUCCAUCAAAUCUUUACCCAAAUCUUGAAAACUUCACAACAAAAAACUCAACAAAAAACUCAUGAGAUCUGUUAGUAUAAGAAAAAUAAAUGACAACUUUAGGUACUAUUGUAUUGGUGUAAUAUUUACUGUAUUCCAACCUCUCCAUGGUUCAUACCCCCGAUGCAACCCAUAGGUUUGUCAAAAUAAGUAAAAAACACAAAGAAAACAGAAUCUGUCAAAAUGCAAUAGUCUGUAGCAAUCUGUAUACUUCGAAUACUUCUGAACUCCAAUUUUUUUGAAAAACUAGGAAAAUCUGGGAAAUUUGUAAAUCAAUCUUUUUCGAAAAUUUCAGAUCAAAAGCACGUUCCAACUUAUUUACAAAAUUCCUAGACUGAGAGAAAUUUUUUUGGUUUUUUAGCAAAAUCAACUUGCAAACACUAUAGACCAUCCCAAAGGUCUUACUUGGCUCAAACACUAAUUAAAACAAGAAAACACAAUCAUUACAGAGGUAAUAAUGUCAUAAAAAUAAAAUUGGUUUCCCUCCCAACAAGCGCUAUUGUUUAACGCCCCUUGCUAGGCAUAGUGCAAUAGAUCUAGGUAUUAUCAUCUUUGGUAUGCAAUCCAUAAGUAGCUCUUAUAAUAGAUUCAUAAGGUAAUUUUAUUUUCUUUAUAGGAAAGUGAUGUGUGCCUUUCCUUAACGGAAAUUGAAAUCUAAUAUUCCCUUCUUCCAUAUCAAUUAUUGCACCAAUCGUUCUAAGGAAAGGUCUACCAAGAUUAAUAGGACAUGUUGGAUUGCAAUCUGUAUGAAGAACUAUCAAAUCUAUGGGUGCAUAAUUCCUAUUUGCAACAAUAAGAACAUCAUUAAUCCUUCCUGUAGGUUUCUUAAUUGUAGAAUCCGCUAGAUGCAAAUUUAAAGAGCAAUCAUCAAAUUCACGGAAUCCUAGCAUGUCACAUAAAGUUUUUGGAAUCGUGGAAACGCUAGCAGCCAAAUCACACAAAGCAUGGCACUCAGAAUCUUUAAUUUUAAUCCUAAUAGUAAGUUCCCACUCAUCAUAAAGCUUAAUAGGUAUAGAAACUUCCAACUCAAGUUUUUCUUCAAAAGAUUUCAUCAUAGCAUCCACAAUAUGUUUAGUAAAAGUUUUAUUUUGAUUAUAAUUAUGCGGAGAAUUCAACAUGGAUUGCAAUGAGGAAACACAAUCAAUCAAAGAACAACUAUCAUAAUUAAAGUCCUUGAAAUCCAAAAGAGUGGGUUCAUUGCUAUUUAAAGUUUUGACCUCUUCAAUCCCACUUUUAUCAAUCUUAGCAUUAAGAUCUAUAAACUCUGAAUCGUUGGGAUGCCUUUUAACUAAAGUUGACUCAUCUCCAGUACCAUCUUUUUCAAGAUUUAUACUAGAAAACAAAGGUUCAAUAGGAUUCAGAUCAAUCACUUUAAUAUCUUCAUCAUUAUUAUCACAAGAAAACACAUUUUCAAGCCAUUCACGCUUAGCGCGUAUUCUAGCAGUUCUUUCCUUACACUCAUCAAUAGAAAUUCUCAUAGCUUUUAAAGACUCAUUAAUAUCAAGCUUGGGUGGAAUAGAUCUAAUUUUCAAAAAAUGAAACUCAAGAGAAAUUCUAUCAACGUUCCUAACCAAAUCAUCAAUCUUGAGCAAUUUUUCUUCAAUCAUAGCAUUGAAACCUUUUUGAGAGCUAAUGAAUUCUUUAUAUUAUUCUCAAGAUCAGAGGGCAUCUUAUUAUAAUUUCUAUAAGAAUUGUUGUAGGAAUUACCAUAAUUGUUAGAGCAAUUACUAGGAAAUGACCUAGGAUUGAAAUACCAAUAUACGCGUUAUUGCUAAAAUUAUUCCUACCAACAAAAUUCACAUCCAUAGAUUCGUUAUUAUUUCCAAACAAAGAAGACAAAGGAAUAUCAUUGGGAUCAAUAGGAUCAUUCUUACUAGCAAACAAUUUCAUCAAUUCAUUCAUCUUUCCACUCAAAGUAUUUAUUUCUUCAAUAGUGUGCACUUUUUUACUAGUAGGAGAUCUUUCGGUAUACCAUUGAGAGUAAUUUGCCAUAAUGUUAUCUAGGAGUUUAGUAGCUUCUCCUAAUGCGAUUUCCAUAAAAGUACCAUCCGCGGAGGAAUCUAAAACAUUUCUAGAAGGAAAAUUUAGUCCCGCAUAAAUAAAUUGUAUAAUCAUCCAUAAACUCAAACCAUGCGCGGGGCAUUUCCUAAUCAUUAGUUUCGUCCUCUCCCAAGAUUGUGCAACAUGAUCAUGAUAAAGUUGCUGAAAAUUCAUUAUAUCGUUCCUAAGGGAGAUAAUCUUAGUGGGCGGAAAGUACUUGGAAAUAAAAGCAUCUUUACACUUAUUCCACGAAUAAAUACUAUUUUUAUGUACAGAUGAAAACCAAGUUUUAGCACGAUCUCGUAGUGAGAAAGGAAAUAGCUUCAAGUUAACAAUUUCAUUAUCCACAUCUUUAUUCUUUCGCAUAUCACAUAACUCAAUGAAAGUAUUUAUAUGGGAUGUCGUAUCUUCACUAGGAAGGCCAGAAAAGUGUUGUUUCAUAACAAGAUUGAGCAAAGAGGCAUCAAUUUCACAAGAUUCUGCACUAGUGAUGGGAGCAAUCGGAGUACUAAUAAAAUCAUUAUUAUUAGUAGUGGAAAAAUCACAUAACUUGGUAUUCUCUUGAGCCAUUGUGACAAAGCAAGCAAUCUAGCACACAAGCAAUCAAACGAAAAGACGAAUGAAAAAAGGCGAAUAGAAAGGGAAAUCUUUUUGGUAUUUUCUGAAAAUCGUUUUAGAAGUGGGGGAGAGGAAAACAAGAGGCAAAUGGAAAAUAAAGUAAAUGCAAGAUAUGAGUUUAUGAUGGGUACUUGGUAGGAUUGAUCUUGCUAUGUAUCCUCCCCGGCAACGGCGCCAUAAAUCCUUCUUGCUACUUCAUGAGCUUGCGUUUGUUUUCCCUUGAAGAGGAAAGGGUGAUGGAGCAAAGUAGAUAAGUAUUUCCCUCAGUUUGUUGAGAACCAAGGUAUCAAUCCAGUAGGAGGAACAAGCAAGGCCCCAAUCGUAGUACUUACACAAACAAUCAAACACUUGCAACCAACGCUAAAAAGGGGUUGUCAAUCCCUUCACAGUUAUUUGCAAGGAUGAGAUCUGAUAGAGAUAGAUAUAAAAGAUUGAUAGAUCUAAAAGUUAAAAAAAUGUAAAUAUAUAGAAACAAUAUAUUUAUGGUAUUUUUGGUUUAUAGAUCUGAAAGUAUAAUAUGGAAAUAGACCCGAGGGCCAUAGGUUUCACUAGAGGCUUCUCUCAUAAAGGAACAUAACAUGGUGGGUGAAAAAAUUACUGAUGAGCAAUUGAUAGUGAUGGGGUUAUAGUCCUAGGGUAGGGUCAUAGGCCUGCCCUAAAGGUCCAACCCAAGGACUACCCCUCACAAGGGACAAGGCCCUUAGUCAGUUCCGACUGAACGAAGGAGUUCCAUUCAUCCAGUCGGUAACAGAUCCUCGACCGUCCAGUCGGAGAUUAGCAUUCGGAGUUUAUCAAACUAACCGACUGGAUUCCACUCUGCGCAUCGUAACCCCCUGGAGGGAAACGGUCAUACAUUUCCAUAUGCCUUAAUUAGCAUUUAGGACGUACGUUACCUGUAACGUAGACAUUUAUUCGCCACUACUCCACCCCUGUGCACUGAACCGUUGUGGAGGGCAGCGCACUCUAUAUAAGCCACCCUCCCCUUCUGGUGCAGGGGUUAGAAAUUCACUGUAUUUGAUAUUCCACUCGACAACAAGCUCCCUGAGCACUGAGACGUAGGGCUAUUACCUCCACUGUAGAGCGGCCUAAACUCAUACAAUCUCGCCGUAGCUAAGGCUCUGCCCAUUCCUUUCGUACCCUACUCAUCUAUUGUCAGGCUUAUACCCACGACAGUUGGCGCCCACCGUGGGGCAGGCGUCUAAGCGACUUCCGGCGAGUUUGCGACUACAUCACUUCGUCAUGUCGUCUGGUGGAGAUUCGAGCAUGGGUCACGAGAUCCUCUACGGCGCUCUCUCCUUCAUCGUCGACGAUUCGGUAUGGCUUCGGGACGCCCCUCUCGACGUCGAGGCGCUUCCCCGUCGCGGGGCUACGCCCUUCCGUGCCGGCGCCCGCGACAUUCUUCUUCUCCAGCAGUCGGCUCCGGUGUCGACCUACACCGCCGUCACGCGCCGCAACAAGCAGUCCCGUCGUCCGCGGCUCCAGCAUUGGGUGCAACACGCCCAGGCGCGCCACUACGCGUCUUCACAAGUGGCAGUUCUAGAGUCAGUUGUGGUUGCCCCGCCGUCCCAGCGCUCGGGCUGGGUUCCGACUGAGUUUCCUUCCGAGUACGCGGGUCGCAGGCCUGCAGCAGAAGUACACAUGGCCAAUUCCCAUGAAGAUCCCCGUCAAGCUGGCCGGAACGAGCACGAGAUCGGCGAAACGUCCGGCGCGCGUUGUCCGCCUCGCCGUUCUGCCAGUCGGCACACUCGGCGGAGCAACGUGGAGCUAUUCCGCACACCCCUCCUCAACUUGGCCGCGGCUGCCAAGAUAGCCGAUUCCCUUCAGCCGACUGAUUCAGAGGCUGGCAGGGGAAUCGAGUAAAUCCACGCCCUGUUGCACACGGUGCAGCAGCUAAAUUCGGCGGUCUCCCAGUCGCACAACAGGAUCUGCAAUAGUUCUGUUCAUGCGAAUACGCAUCGGUCAGUUCAUAGCCCUGGUUCUCAUCAGCGACACAGAGGAGGCAGUCGUUCCAUAAAUCCCGAAGAUCGUCGCCGUUCACGCACCCCUCCGCGGGGUGGGCCCUAUGGGCCCCGACAUCCUGAUGAUCGGCGUUCAGUCGGCGGCACUUACGACCCAAGGCCCGACGCGAGAGGGCAUAUCGCCCAGCGGAGGGUCGACAGGGGCCGAGCCCACCGCGAUGGUUACGAUAUUGACCAUCCGAGUGGAAGCAGGGCCAUCGUUUCUGGUCCCGAGUGUUUCAGUCGAGCCAUCCGUUCGGCUGACAUCCCUCCCAACUUCCGAUUGGCGACGGGAAUUAGCAAGUUUAUAAGAGAGUCCAAGCCAGAAACGUGGCUGGAUGAUUACCGAGUAGCAGUCCAGAUCGGAGGAGGAGACGACCAUGUCGCCAUGAAGCACCUCCCCCUGAUACUCGACGGCUCGGCGCGAGCGUGGCUGAACGAGUUGGCCCGCUCAAGCAUCUACAGCUUGGCAGAUCUGGCCCGAGUGUUCAUCAGGACCUUCGAAGGGAUGUGCAAGCGCCCUGCUGGCGUCAUGGAGCUCCAGCACUGCGUCCAGAAGUAGAAUGAGCCCCUGCGUGAUUUCAUUCAGCGCUGGACAACUCUCUACCACACGGUGGAGAACGUCACGGAGCAUCAAGCAGUCUGCGCCUUCAAGACAGGCGUGCGGUACAGGGAUCUGUACCUGAAGUUCGACCGAACAGGCGACAUCUCCAUGAGCAAGAUGAUGGAGAUAGCAACACGCUAUGCAAAUGGCGAAGAAGAGGACCGCAUCCGAAGCGGCAAGCACAAAACAGUCGCCGAUGGAGAUGGGGGCAACACUCGGAAGCAGAAGCAGAAAGCUCCGUCUACUCCGCAGGCAGAAGCUGCAGCCGUAACCAAUGCCAAGUUCAAGGGCAAAGGGAAGGCUCAGUUCACCCCUAAGAAGAAACAGUUCAAUAACCCCAUCCUGGAUCAGCCAUGUCCGGUUCAUACGAAGAUGGAUGAAGAGGGCAACCCCAUAUAUGCGAAGCAUACCACUCGACAGUGUCGCCUCCUAAUCCAAGGGUUCAGAGAAGGGUAACCGAGUGAGAAGGACAAUGAACAGGAUGAGGAGGAUAAGGAGGAUCCGUUCCCCCAAGUCCAUGCAACACUCAUGAUUUUCGCUGACGUCGAGGGCAAGAGUCGACUGAAGCUGGUGAACAGGGAGGUGAACAUGGCCACCCCUACCAACCCCAAGUUCCUCAAAUGGUCCCAGACUGCGAUCACCUUUGACCAGUCAGAUCAUCCAGCACAUGUACCCACCCCAGGGAGACAGGCUCUAGUCGUCGACCCAGUGGUGGAAGGAGUCCGACUGCGCAAAGUCCUCAUGGACGGUGGCAGUGGCUUGAACAUCAUGUAUGCCGACACUCUCAAGGGGAUGGGCAUUCCGAUGUCCAAACUCAGCGAGAGCAGAAUGCAGUUCUAUGGAGUCGUCCCUGGACGAAAGGCCAAGUCACUCGGCCAGAUCGCGUUGGACGUCGUUUUUAGCUCCGACAAGAACUUCCGCAAGGAAAAGCUGACGUUCGAAGUGGUCGACUUCCAGAGCGCUUACCACAUGAUUCUGGGCCGCCCAGCGUAUGCACGUUUCAUGGCCCGUCCAUGUUACGUAUACCUGAAGCUGAAGAUGCCGGGCCCGAAGGGCGUGAUUACCAUCACAGGCAAUCGGCAGCGGGCCGAAGAAUGUCUGCAGCAGGGAUCAAGAAUCGCCGACCAGCAGAUGGCCGUCCUCGAGCUUGACGAGUACAAGAAAACAGUCGACCCCGCAGACUUGAUGCGUUCGAAGAAGCCAGCUUCGGAGUCUGCAUUCCAGUCGGCGGGAGAGACGAAGAAGGUCAGCAUCCACCCGACGGACGCCACUGCUGCCCUGACGAACAUCUCCACCACCCUCGAUCCUAAAUAGGAAGCCGAGCUCACCCAAUUCCUCCAUGAGAACUGGGACAUCUUCGCAUGGAAACCCUCUGACAUGCCAGGUGUACCCAGGGAGUUGGCUGAGCACCGACCGCAUGUGGAUCCCACCGCUCGGCCUGUCCGAGAACGCCUGCGUUGUUCCGCCGCGCAUAAGAGGAAGGCAAUCGGAGAAGAGGUGGCCAAGCUGUUGGCAGCCAACUUCAUUCGCGAGGUUCACCACCCCGAGUGGCUCGCCAAUGCUGUCAUGGUGCCCAAGAAGGACAAGUCGCGCCGAAUGUGCAUCGACUUCAAGCACCUCAAUAAGGUCUGCCCGAAAGACCAUUUUCCGCUCCCGCGCAUCUAUCAAAUCGUCGCUUCGACAGCGGGUUGCGAGCGUCUGUCAUUUCUAGAUGCCUAUUCGGGCUAUCAUCAGAUCCGUCUGUAUGGCCCCGAUGAAUUAAAAACAGCCUUCAUCACCCCAUUCGGGUGCUUCUGCUACAUCACUAUGCCAUUCGGUAUGAAGAAUGCAGGAGCUACCUUUAUGCGCAUGAUCCAAAAAUGUCUCCUCGACCAGAUCGGCCGGAAUGUGGAGGCGUAUAUGGAUGAUAUCGUAGUCAAGUCACGCAAAGGUUCCGACCUGCUGACUGACUUGGCAGAAAAGUUCGCCAACCUUCAUAGGGACGAUAUCAAGCUUAACACCGCCAAAUGUUCAUUCGGUGUUCCCAGCGGGAAGUUACUUAGUUUCUUCGUUUCUGAACGAGGGAUCGAUGUCAACCCCGAAAAGAUCGGGACCAUCGUCCGAACGGAGAGGCCGGUCAGAAUACACGAUGUUCAUCGUCUCACAGGUUGCCUAGCGGCUUUCAGCAGGUUCAUCAGUCGACUCGGCGAGAAAGCACUUCCUCUGUACCGACUCAUGAAGAAAUUAGAUACUUUCGAGUGGACAGACGAAGCCCAAGUCGCAUUCGACGACCUCAAAGUCCUACUUUCCACCCAGCCGGUUCUUACUGCUCCGCUCAGUAAAGGGCCCCUUCUUCUGUAUAUCGUGGCUACAAAUCAAGUCGUCAUCACUGUUCUUACAGUCGAACGAGAAGAAGAAGGCAAAGCAAAAAAAUUCAGCGGCCAGUGUAUUACGUCACCGAAGUCCUGACUCCUUCCAAGCAGAGGUAUCCCCACUAUCAAAAACUCAUCUAUGGGAUUUACAUGACUGCGAAGAAGGUAGCCCAUUAUUUCCAAGACCACUCGGUGUCUGUCGUUUCUGAUGCUCCGUUGUCGGAAAUGCUCCACAAUCGAGACGCAUCAGGCCGAGUGGCGAAGUGGGCAAAGGAGAUGUUGUACUCCGAUAUCAAGUUCGAGGCCAAGAAAGCUAUUAAGUCUCAAGCUCUGGCUGACUUUAUAGCAGAAUGGGUAGAACAACAGCAACCAACCCACAUCUACUCGGCUCAUUGGACAAUGUUCUUCGAUGUGUCCAAGAUGUUGAAUGGCUCUGGCGCUGGCGUUGUGAUCGUAUCGCCAAAGGGCGACAAACUCAAAUAUGUGUUGCAGAUACACUUUGAUUCCUCCAACAAUGAGGCGGAGUAUGAAGCUCUCCUUUAUGGACUGCGUAUGGCCAUCGCACUCGGCGUCCGUCGCCUGAUGGUCUAUGGCAAUUCAGACUUGGUGGUUAAUCAAGUGAUGAAAGAGUGGGACGUCAGGAACCCCACCAUGACCACAUACUGCAAUGCAGUGAGGAAGCUUGAGAAGAAGUUUGAAGGUCUAGAACUCCACCAUGUUCUGCGACUGAAGAACCAAGCAGCUGACGAGUUGGCAAAACUCGGAUCCACACGGAGACCAGUCCCGAGUGACGUCUGCCUCGAGCACCUCCACCUUCCCUCAGUCAAAGAANNNNNNNNNNNNNNNNNNNNNNNNNNNNNNNNNNNNNNNNNNNNNNNNNNNNNNNNNNNNNNNNNNNNNNNNNNNNNNNNNNNNNNNNNNNNNNNNNNNNGGGGUUGCGCGCGGUCACCGUGAACUCGAUGCGGGAGGUGACGGAGUCGGAGUCCGAGACGUUCAGCGCCGCCAGACGGAGCGACGUCACGGCGAAGGUCGGAAGCUCCCGGGUGGUAAAUCACGUAGAACACCCCCAACGCGAUUGCUCCAAGGAACACCAGCCCCACCAACACCAGCGUCAGCCACAGGCAACACGCGCAGCACCACCCGCGCCCGCUCCUCCGGCGGCGCGGUGGCUGUUGCAUCGGCUUCGGCCGGUACAUCGGCGGGGGCGGGACGCGGCCGGGCACCAUGGGCGGAGGCCGAGGUGGCCCUACGCCGCCGCCGUUCGCCGUGCCGUUGGCGGACCGCGGCGCCGCCACAGGGACAGGCUUGGAGGCCGGCGCGUACGCCCGGUCGCCCAUUUCUUGGCCUCUGCUGCUUCUUCUGGGCUUGGGGAAGGAGAAGGCUUGGGGAAGGAGAAGGGGGGAGUAAAAGAGACUGGGGGGAGAAACGCGAAGAAGACGGGCGCAAUAAGUGGCCGCAUUUAUAUAUACACUGUAUAUAUUGUGCUAGUGCUAGUACUGCGUGUUUGCUUGCUCGUGUCGUGUGGGCGUUUAGGCAUGGGAAACGCUUCUCACCAGAAGUCUGGUGCGUAGCAUUCGUCGGACCAGUUGUCGACUGUCGAUUCUUCUUUGAUCUCACGGUCGAGAGAAGCAAGCAAAACCAGUAUUUUUAUGCUCCAAAAGAACCCGAUUUUCAUGCCCAUGAUCCCGUGAUCUCUCCUUAUCCGGUUAUCCCGUAUUAAUUGGCCCAAACAAAUCAACCCAGUGCCCAUCUCUCUGCUCGUUCCCUGCUCUCGCCGCCCUGGCUCUCUCCUCAUCCAGUAUCGCGUCUAACCUCUCUGCGGCGCCUCCGCUCAACCAAACCGGUGUGUCGUCCCGU
rnacentral:lncRNA from 1 species